UGCUAAAUGUGUUAGGCAUCUUGCUGGCUCCUGUUAUAGUGUUAUUACAACGAAACUUGAGUUCCUAUAGAAAGUAUGUACAAAUUUUCUAUACAAUAACUUCAUUGCAUCUUUUAAGAGAAGCAUAAGUGGCAACCUUAUGAAAACCAUAUACAGACUAUUAAAAAUGGUACUAGAAUCCUGUGAAUUAAUUGAAACAAAUAUCAAGCUCCAUGUGUUAUGAAACUUGUGCUUCCCUUUUAUAGUCCUUCAUUUUUUAUCACUAACUUUUAGCACCGGAAGACCAAGGCAUUAUUAUACUAGUUAUCACGUGCUUCAACAAAUUCAGUCAUCUGUCCAUGUUGAUUUCAUCUUGCAAACUCUAUGCUCAUCGAGGCUUUCUUCUGGAGGAUGUAAUAAUCUGUGCUUUCUUCACUAGUAUAGUCACCCGAUGAAUUGUCAGACGACCGUCCCUGCAUCAUGAGUGCACUAACACCAUGAAACCCUUGAGUGCGAGGUGGUACUGGACGUGCCAAUCGCUGGAGUUCCUCUGCUACCUCUCUCAUCAUUGGCCUGUGUUGACCUUCCUUUAUGCUCAGCUGAGGCGAGCUCAUCUUCCCCGUUCUGCGAAUCACCACCGAAUCACGGCGUCCCUUGUGGUGGAACCGUCCAACUUAAACUGAUUUAAAUGCGCCUAAUUGCUGCCGACGCAGCAAUUAUUCGAAACGCACUUAAAACAGUAUAAGUCCGGUCGUCCGUCGAGUGUCCCUAGGACUCCUCGAAAGAUCCACGUUGUGUCUCGUAGCCAUACAUCAGGAUAGUAUCCGCGAUGGGAUAGCAUCAACAAAUAUUACAUUUUUACAUACAUACAAGAGGUACGAGUUAUUACAAGACUUAGUUUGAAGCAAACUUAAUAGUGCAGUGUUAGACAGAGUUCUAGGACUUAAAACAUAAACGGUUCAGAUGGAGAUGAGCAUUAAAAAAAACUUCUUCUAAGGGUAUUGUGAGACUCAUAACAAUACCCUAGGGCUUCGGGGCUUCCUCCUCGGUGGACUCCUGCGGUGCUUCUGAAAAGAUAGCCACAAGGGAUAACCCUGAGUACGAGGUACUCAGCAAGUCUUACCCGACUAACCAAUAUAAUAGCUUUUCUUUGGAAGUACAUGAUAGCUUUUUGGUGUACUUGGCUGAUACAUUUUUGCCGAAAAGCUUACUACAAGUGAUGCCUUAGUUUUAUCUUUUAUUUGGGUUAAGUCAUUACCUAACCAUUCUAGAUGAUGAGAAGAAAGUAAACGCAACCAUAGAUAUUAAGUCAUACAUCAAACAUUAUCAGAAAGAUAUGCCAUUCAUGAAUUUAUGCUACGAUGCUCAACAGUGAUCAAGUGCAUUCAUAACCGAGAAUUGCGGCGAUCCGGAUCAAUUUACAUCCUGCAGGAGAGUACCCCGAUCACCAGUUAUAUACGACUGUCCAGGUCGUACACAACGACCUUUCGAUUAGCAAAAUCAAUGAUUGGGAAUAAGACUACCCGGACCCAGGGACGCACCCCCACAUGGGACCCCAUGUCUGGCCCGAUCACCAUGUGAGUUUCAGGCUACACCCCUGCCAAUCUCCAGCACGUCAAGCGCGGGUACGAAGUAUUCCCGAUCAGAGAGUUUGCUAACCUACUGGGCUUUACUGGUCCCAUACCCAGUAAGUGAUCAGAUGAUUAUCACUUGAUCAAAGGUUAAGACAACGAAUCGGGCCUUCACCACAUUAAUCUAGCAGACAGAACUACAUCUCUAGCUUCUAUCCGCUUCUCAAUUCCAAGUCAUCUUCCCAUAAAUAACAUGUAAGACUCAAAAAGUUUUCCUUAAGGUUGGUAAACCAAGCAUUGAAGCAACUAAGCAUUUCUAGACUUGGGAUACCUACUAGGGUUUGAACAAGUGGCAAAGAUGUCCUUAGAACAAGGUAUGAUCAUGCACAAGAAUAGGUUUCAAGCAACUCCUAGACUUAAUGCAUACAUAUAGCAAAUAACUGAAUAUAGGACACAUGAAAUAUUGACUUCAAAAUAAUAGGUGUAAUGCACCGGGGCUUGCCUUGUUCGCUUAAAAAGUUAGUACUGUCCGACGGGUUGGCCUCGCAGGGGACCAAUUCAAAGACUUCUUCAAACUCCGAAGGUCCUUCUGAAAAUUCCAAGUAAUCUCCUUCUGGUGCUUCGGGGUCUAUAGCACAACACAUGCAGGGGUUAGGAAUGCAAAUUUUUGAAUAAAAGACUAUACAACUUUCCUUCAUGAUAAAGUUGCUAGCCAACAAGGACUAUACAAUUUAUCAUGAUAAAGUUGCAAGCCAACACACAAAAACCCAAAAAGAUUAGCCCAAAAUUUUUAUUUUCUUACCUAACCUUACUCAAGGCCUUUCUUUUAUUUUUUUUGAAAAGGUUAUAAUUAUUUUCUAACUUGAAAAACUAAUUUCCUAUGAGUUGAGAAUAAUUUGUGAUUACGAAAAUGUUAUUCCAUAUUUUAUACAUUUUAUAAAGAUUAAGUAUUUAUUUAAUUACCUUAAAAGAAAGGCAUUAAAUGAAUACCUAAAUUUUUAUAGUUUUCCUAGGGUAUAAAAAUUUUAAUGCAUAAAGGAAAAUAAAACAAGCCUAACAAAAUUGGUUUCACUAAUUUUGGACACUCCUAGAAAUUUCUGUGAUUUAAAUGGUGGGAUUCCAAUUUAAACUAAUUAUUCUAUAAAGGAAAUCCAAAUUUUCCCGAAAAACACCCCCGGCGACUUUUCUCACGCGGCUCGACUCUACCCCCUCUCACUUGCGCUGGGCCCGUGACGCGGACCCACCCCUUCUCCUAUUCCUUCUACCCGCCGGCCUCCUUUUACCCCGGCCGGGCCCUAUUGGGCCGAUUCCUCUUUCCCCUUCUUCUCCUUUCGCUCGCGACGGCCCAACGGCCCUGUUUUCUUUUUCUUCGUUUCCUCGCGAGCGCGGUCUGCUGGCUCCUCUGGGCCUCCGGCCUUCCUCUCCACGGUCGACCGCGCGCGCUCCCGGGCUUUCAAGGCCGCGGCCCAACUGGCCUCCGCGUCCGGCCGGCCGACUCCCUCUCCCUCUCUUCCCUACUGACGCGCGGGCCCAAGGCGCCAGACUCUUCUUCCUCCUCCCGCCAAAACUCGCGCGUGACAGGGGGCGGUGUGGCUCGCCGGCCGGCGCCCUACCGGCGGGGGAACUAGGUCAGGAAAGCACCUCCGUGCCCUCACACACCCGUGCGUGGCAACAGUUCCUCGGGAGAUGGCCGGAGCCAUUCCCUCCACGGCGGCGGGCGGCGGCACCUACGGCCGGUCGCGAUUACGCACGACAACGGCGCAAACUACCCCGACGACUACCACGACACCAUCCUAGCAUCCUAAGGACCUGCUUAAGGCUACCCAAGAAGGAAGAGAACAAGCGCAAGGGGGUGCUCACCGUGAGCGGGAGGUUUAAGGCGUACCGGCGGAGAGGCUGGGCAACAAGCUGCUAGGGUUGCUGGUGGGGUGUGGGUGGAGGUGUGGACGGAGGGAAUCGACGGGAGCUGCGGUGUGGUGGGAGUAUUUUGCUCGGCGGCGGCGGCUUGGACAGAGGAGAUGGCGGCGGUAAAAAGGACAGCGGUAGAAACGGCAGCGCGGGAGCGGUAGUUAUUCAAGCUUUCACCGCGCGCAUGGGCGACACCGUGGCCUACUCGUAGGCUUGCGUGGUGAGGAGGUGGCGUAGCUGCCGCGCUGGCGAGCGACCGACGACGGCGGUGGCGACACGUCCUGCCUGCUCUGUCAUCGUUCCCCCCCUUUUCUUCUGACGCCCGAAACUUCAGAGCUCCACCACGGCCGAUUCCAAAUCCGACGGUGCAUAUGUGUCUUAAGAAAAGUUGUAGAUAAUCUCGAGCUUUCCAAGUCAUAUAUAAACCUUUGCCCGAGAUAAACAUCCAAAAGUCUCCAAAUUUAAAUUUUUCUCGGGCAAAUGACUGAACCCUUUUUCCCUUCCAUUCAGUUUCGUCAGUCACUCGAUGUGGUCAUGUGCCCGACUUAGUGAAUCAUUUCGGUGCUCCAAAUCCUCUUUCUGUAGUCCAACUUCUACCCAAUUGUGUUCUACCAUCUUCAAGGUUUCCAUUUUGCCCAAAAACACCUACCUCUUUUGAUCUACAUUCCUCUGAAAUCCAUUUCAAAGUCGGCCACACACUGCUGUCUUCAGACUUAGUCAUUUUCAGUGAUGCAAUUACAGUGACGAGAUGCUGACUUUAGGCCUUCAUUUGAAAUAGCUCCCUCUGCUAUUCUUGAUCAAAAACACCCAAAUCUAGUAGUCCAAGGUCCACACUUUAAUAUGGUGUAGUUGUUCUGAUUUACUUAUUUGAAAAAUUCAUCAGAAAUCAAUUUUGAAAAUGGACUCUGCUGCUGUUUUCUGAAUUUUCCUAUUGUCAGAUGGUGAAUAGUGCACUUCGGUUUUAUUUGCUUUCUUUGAUUCUUUUGAGAUAUCUAGGACCAAUUCUGUUCCAAUUUCUUGAUCCUCAAGUUCUAAUCACCCUUACACCUUUAUUCCAUAUUUUUGACGAAUUUUUCUGAAUUUCAAUUCAAAAUUCAAAUUUCGGUCAAAUUUGACCUGAAUUUGAUUUUUGGCCAAUUUCUUUUUAUUUUCUUCUCAAAUUGCUUCCAAUUUUUCAAAGUCACUUUGGUGACUAAAAUGGCAAGGUAUUACAUCCUCUCCCCCUUAACAGAAUCUCGUCCCGAGAUUCCCGGGGUGAAAUCCUCGGCUUUGAGAAUGGAAAGGAAACUGCAUCAGGUCAACUAUUUUUCUCUUUUCUGUACAAGGAUAGUGGGGUGGUGGCUUUUGUUCAUCUGUCCCUGAUGGUUUCAAACAAUUCAGGAUAUUUAGACUCUAGGUCUUCAGCCUGUUCCCAAGUAGCUUCAUCCGGAGUAUGAUUUUUCCAUUGUACCUUGUAAAAGGUGAUACUCCGAGUUCGGGUAUCUCUUGUCUUUUGAUCCAGAAUUUUAAUAGGCCUUUCUUCAUAGGUUAGAUCUGGUGCGAGCUUGAUUUCUGGAUCUUCUAGAGUUUCUUCUGGAACUCUUAAACACUUCUUAAGCUGGGAUACAUGAAAUACGUCAUGUAUAGAAGUAAGUUGGUCUGGUAAUGACAGCUUGUAUGCCACUGGACCCUUUCGUUCCAGAAUCUCAUAAGGACCAAUAUAUCUUGGGGCUAACUUACCCUUUAUUCCAAAUCGUUGUACUCCUUUCAUCGGGGAUACCUUUAAGUAUACAAAAUCUCCGGUAUGAAAUUCCAAGGACCCUCUCCUUUUAUCCGAAUAACUCUUUUGUCGGGACUGGGCUAUUUCCAAAUGUUUGCGAAUUUUCUGGACCUUUUCCUCGGUUUCCAUAACCAGAUCUGAUCCCAAAUGUGUUCUUUCUCCUACUUCUGACCAAUUCAAAGGGGUUCGGCAUCUUCGACCAUACAGGGCUUCGAAAGGUGCCAUUUUAAUGCUAGCUUGAUAGCUAUUAUUAUAGGAGAACUCGGCUAGGGGCAAACAUUCGUCCCAUAGCUUAGAGAAGGUAAGGACACAUGCUCUCAACAUGUCUUCCAAGAUUUGAUUAACUCUUUCUGUCUGUCCUCCAGUUUGAGGCUGAUAGGCAGAACUUCUAAUUAGAGUAGUGCCCAUGUCCUUUUGCAACUGUUCCCAAAAUCUGGAAACAAACUGGGAACCUCGAUCAGAGAUAAUUGUCUUUAGUACUCCGUGCAAGGAUACGAUCCGGGCUAUGUAGAGUUUAGCAUAUGUCGACACCGGAUAGGUAGUCUUGACGGGAAUAAAGUGAGCUGACUUAGUAAGGCGGUCGACAAUAACCCAUAUGGAAUCAUACCCUUUUGAAGUGGUAGGAAAUCCAACUAUAAAGUCCAUGGAAAUAUCCUCCCAUUUCCAGACAGGGAUUUCUAAGGGUUGAAGUAAACCUGCCGACUUUUGUAGUAUGGGCUUAACUCUUCGGCAAGUAUCACAUUCAGCUACAUACCUUGCAAUUUCAGGUUUCAUCUUGGCCCACCAAAACCUUUGCUUUAAAUCUUGGUACAUUUUAUUGCUUCUGGGAUGAAUAGCAAACUUAGAUAGAUGUGCUUCUUCUAAGAUCAACUUUCUUAGACUUUCAUCCUUAGGAACUACUAUCUUUUUCUUGAAGUACAGUCCUCCAUCUUCUUCUUGAUUGAGUUCGGGGAUCUUCCCUUCUGCUUUUUGUUGAUAGAGUAUCUUAAUCCAUGGAUCUUCUUUUUGGGCUGUUAUAAUUCUUUCCUUUAAGGUAUCUUGUAUCAUAAUAUUCUGAAGGGUGCCUUGUUUUACUAUUUCCAAACUCAAAUCUUCCAUUUCCUCACAUAAGUCUUAAGGUUAGACUGGACGGUAGUGCAGUGGCAUUGGGCCUUUCUGCUUAAGGCGUCAGCCACCACAUUAGCCUUACCAGGAUGAUAAUGGAUUUCUAAAUUAUAGUCUUUAAUCAGUUCCAGCCAUCGUCUUUGCCUCAUGUUCAAAUCCAUUUGAGUAAAGAUGUACUUCAAACUUUUGUGGUCAGUAAAGAUACGACAUUCACUACCCAAAAGAUAGUGUCGCCAUAUCUUUAAUGCAUGCACUACGGCAGCAAGCUCUAAAUCAUGGGUAGGGUAAUGCUCUUCAUGACGCUUCAGUUGACGAGAAGCAUAAGCAAUAACUCUGCCUUCUUGCAUAAGAACACACCCUAUGCCUGUUUCAGAGGCAUCACAGUAUACAUCAAAGGGCUUCUCUAUAUCCGGUUGAGCUAACACCGGGGCUGUAGUUAGCAACUUCUUUAAGACUUGAAAUGAUUCUUCACACUCAGGUUUCCAUUCAAAUUUUACUUCUUUCUUCAAUAACUCUGUGAUUGGUUUGGAAAUUUUUGAGAAAUUGGGAAUGAACCUACGGUAAUAACCGGCCAUUCCCAAGAAACUUCUUACUUCAUGAAUAGAGGUUGGUGAUUUCCAAUCCAAUAUAUCCUUAACCUUUCCGGGAUCUACUUCAAUUCCUUUUUUGGACAAUAUGUGCCCAAGGAAUGGAACUUUCUUUAACCAGAAUUCCCAUUUACUGAACUUGGCAUACAACUGAUGUUCCCGGAGUCUAUUUAGAACAAUACGCAAGUGUUGCGCAUGUUCCUCUUCAUUUUUAGAAAAGACAAGGAUAUCGUCUGUAAAGACGACCACAAAUUUAUCUAACUCUGGCAUGAACACUGAAUUCAUGAGGUACAUAAAAUGCGCUGGGGCAUUUGUCAGUCCGAAAGACAUAACCAAGUAUUCAUACAGUCCAUAUUGGGUUGAGAAGGCUGUUUUAGGUAUGUCUUCGGGUUUUAUCUUAAUUUGAUGGUAUCCUGACCGAAGGUCGAUUUUUGAAAAGACCUUGGCUCCAGCUAAUUGGUCAAACAACAAGUCAAUCCGUGGUAACGGAUACUUGUUUUUAAUGGUUACCGCAUUCAAAGGGCGGUAAUCCACACAUAACCUUAAUGUGCCAUCCUUCUUUUUAACAAAUAGAGUAGGGCAGCCCCACGGUGAAGUGCUAGGUCGGACAAAACCUUUGUCCAACAAUUCUUGGAGUUGUAUUUUCAAUUCUGCUAACUCCUUAGGUGGCAUUUGAUACGGUCUUCUCGAGAUAGGAGCGGUGCCUGGUUCUAACUCAAUGGUAAACUCUACCGCUCUAUCAGGCGGUAGUCCAGGUAGAUCUUCUGGGAACACAUCUAUAAACUCAUUAACCACAGGAAUAGAUUCUAGAGUCACUGCUCUAGUCUUUUUGACCAUCUGGUCCAAACAAGGAUGAGCGGGUAAUUGGAGCUCGAAUGGGUGGCCUUGGUCAUCUUUCAUACUAACGAUCCGAUUAUCCAUAUCGAUUUGAACUUUAUGUUCCUUCAUCCAAUUUACCCCCAAAAUAAUAUCUAUUCCUUGAUCUUCCAGAAUUAAAGGAUAAGCACCCACCUUAUUUCCUUCUAGGUUUAAAAUCACAUUGCGAGUUACUUGAUUUGUAUUCUGUGUAGCUCCAGUAGCUUGAAUAGCAUACUUGACAUUUAAUGUAUGUACUUCUAGUUGGUGUUGCGUAACAAACCUUCUACUUAUAAAAGUAUGUGAUGCACCCGAAUCAAAUAAAACCAUGGCAGGAUAAUUGUUAACAAGGUACAUACCUGCCAGAAUAGGCUCUCCUUCUGGAAUUUCCUCCACAUUCAUAUAAUGAGCUUGUCCUGUCUUGGUGUUCACAAAUUUGCGACGGACAAACUUCUGCCCAGUGCCUUGACCCGAAGUUUGAGCCCUCAAAUUUGCGUUUCCCCCAACCUUGGGAAAACGGCAGUCCUGGGCAAAGUGUCCCGGCUUCCCACAGUUAAAGCAAACCUGUGGAUUCCCUGGAGGAGUAGGGUUACGAAACCCAAGAGGUGGCGCAUUUCCAGGACGAGGAGCAUUACUGGGAGCUCUGACAUUCCAGGGCUGGAAGGAUCUCUGCUGAAAUGAAGGUCGAUACACAGGUCGAGGAGGACCUCGAUAUACCACCUUCAUUCUUUGUGGAGCACUCCCAAAGGUUCCAAAAGGAAUAUUCUUCCUUUUCAAAGCUUCCUCUUUCCUUAGGGUUUCAUCUAGAAUUCUCAUCUUUUCUUCUACGGUAAUGGCUGUACUUACCGCAGAGCUAUAGUCGGCAAAGGUGCAGGUGGACAACUUCUCCUGCAUUCUUGCAUUGAGCCCACGAAGAUAACAAUCUCUUUUUCUGGACUCGGUAUUGACAUGUUCUGGUGCAUAUUGGGCUAAGUGGUCGAACUCAUUGGUAUACUCAAGAAUGUUGCGGUUCCCUUGCUGGAGUCCUAAAAAUUGCUCCAGUUUCAUUCGCAUGAUACCUUCCAGCACAAACUGUGUCCUGAAGGCUUCCUUAAAGUUCUCCCAUGUAACCUCCCUUCCAACUGGCUGCCUAGCCAGAUAGCUGGUCCACCAGGUCCCAGCGGGACCUUGAAGCUGGAGUCCUGCAAACUCUGCCUUUUGAGUGGUGGUGCACUGGGGGAUUACUCAAAACUUCUGUUCCAUUGUUUGAAGCCAUUCAUUAGCUUCAAGGGGAUGCUCAGCCUUCAAAAAUAUUGGAGGACGAGUCUCCAGGAACUGGGUGUAGGAUACACCCCGCUCUGGAUCCCGCCGAUUUCCAUCGUUACCAGUGUUCUGUACGAUCAUUUGAAGUAAUCGAGCCUGUUCGGCCCCGGAGUUCAUAAGGCUGGCUAUAGCAUCUGCCAGCGUUGGAGCUCUCGGUAAAUUCUCCUCAUGGCCCCCUGACCCUGAAGCUCGUGGACCUCUUGGAUCCGUCAUGCUAUCAAGAGUAAACAAAACAUUAAUAUUUAGGGUGCAUUUUAUCAACAGUUCCCUGCACACUAAUAUUUCACACAUCACAACAUGACCAUACAUAAACCACACUUAUACACAUAUUUAUUUAUAGUACAUGAUUUGAAGUUACUCUUUACAAAACCAUCGUGCUACUCUGUCCAUCACAUGUAUCUUACAUAAAUAUAUUACAACAUCUCUUAGAUAAGGUCUCGCUUCAACCAUCGUAAGGGUAGAUGCCUAGUUCUUCGGCAUUCAGUCCUAGUCGGGCCAUUGCUGCUUGUAGAAUAUCUUGCUCCACUGUCAUCAAUGUUUGUCCUGGAGGAGCGACAGGUGGGGCUUGAUUCACUGAGUUCUCACUUCCUGAUUCCGGCCCGAGGUCGCUCGAAGUGUAAGAAGUGUAGGAUGCAGAGGUACUAACUCCGGAAUUUCCCUCCAUCUCUUCAGGAUCCUCCUCUUCUUCCCCGUCUUCUUGCUCCGCUUCUUCCCACUGCUACAUUGGCCCGUAGCCUUGUGGAUCUAGCCCAUCGGCGUUUGCAUUGGCCCAGACAAAUUGUUGAUUUCCCACGGGAGCUUCACCCUGAUCAUCUUCCAUGUCAACAUCAAACCCUUCUAAGUUCUCAUGAGCGUAUAGAUCAAUCUCAGGAGCUGCAGGUGGAGCAAGAUCUUCCUUCACUCCUACCACAUCCACUAACUGGUCCGCUUCUUCUGGGUUCGGUGGCUGGGGCUCUUCUGGUGGUGGAGGCGGUGGAACAUUAACAAUGUUUUGCGCAGGUACCUGGGCCUGCAUCUCCUCCAAAGCCAGACGAAGUGAUAAGAUCUCGUCCAGCUGCUGGAAUCUUUUUGCUUCAAGCCUAUUAACAUUGGAUUCGGCUUCCUCCCUUGCUCUAUCUGCCAUGCUCCUGCUAGCCUCUAUGAAUCCUUGCAUCACCCUGAGUUUUUCUUUGUAGUCGUCUAUUCUCCUGGACUGUUCCCUUAUUAUUUUCUCCAUGUCGUGUUCCCUUGUCAAUGCCGCCUUUUUGUACAAUUCCUUAUCAUGUCGGGCGCCCAUUAACUCCAUUUUGGCGUCUUCAUUUUUCUGCCUCUGAUUGUAAUACUCUCUGAUGCAAGACUGAUGUAAGUUGUACAUGGCCGUCAUGUAAUCAGAAGCAGCAGCAACCAAGAUAUCGUGCUCUACACGAGAAGAGUUCUUCAGAGCUUUAAUUCUCCUCUUCCAGAUCCCGUCAUCUUGAUUCUUGAUAGGAUAGAACCGAGCAGAGCUCGACCCUAUCUCUACUUUGUGCUUUUCACAUAACUCGGUAAGAGCAGUCAUAGCCGCCCUUUCAAUUGUGUCAUUGAACUCAAAGCCUGACUCCAUUACUUCUUCUAGACGCCAAUUGGGAUUGGUGUCUUCAUCUGGAAUGUGCACAUAAACAGUGCAGUACUGUUUGUGACCCGUAUCUUCCUUCCUCCAAUAAUAUUCUGGAGGGUUGUGAAAGCCUAAUUCCUGCAGCGUCUUCCAUAGCAACUUCACAAACCCCGGCUUAUCCAGAUAAUGGCCGCGGGUCCAUCCAUCUUGAUCAGUGUAACCUUCUUGAAACAUCCUAUAAAAGAAACGAGGUCAGGUCUAACGGCACUCACUAAACCCAAAAAUUUUGAAAAUAUGCUUAUGCAACAUGAUGCAACGAUUCCUACGGACUCACAGACUCAUAUACACACUCGUAAAGAAAUUGGUGGCAUCGUAAUCUCUCCCUAAAUAACAGACUACCGAAUACUAGCGACACGCAGCAAACAGUUAGCAUCUGCAAAACAAACAACCAGUUAACACUACUGCCACCUGUGACUCAUGUUUUCUUUAUUUUAAAAUAGAGUCCCAGUUUUUAAAUGGUAAUACCUGUUGAUUAUCCCAACCUACGGCUCUGAUACCAGCUGUGGCGGAACCGUCCAACUUAAACUGAUUUAAAUGCGCCUAAUUGCUGCCGACGUAGCAAUUAUUCGAAACGCACUUAAAACAGUAUAAGUCCGGUCGUCCGUCGAGUGUCCCUAGGACUCCUCGAAAGAUCCACGUUGUGUCUCGUAGCCAUACAUCAGGAUAGUAUCCGCGAUGGGAUAGCAUCAACAAAUAUUACAUUUUUACAUACAUACAAGAGGUACGAGUUAUUACAAGACUUAGUUUGAAGCAAACUUAAUAGUGCAGUGUUAGACAGAGUUCUAGGACUUAAAACAUAAACGGUUCAGAUGGAGAUGAGCAUUAAAAAAAACUUCUUCUAAGGGUAUUGUGAGACUCAUAACAAUACCCUAGGGCUUCGGGGCUUCCUCCUCGGUGGACUCCUGCGGUGCUUCUGAAAAGAUAGCCACAAGGGAUAACCCUGAGUACGAGGUACUCAGCAAGUCUUACCCGACUAACCAAUAUAAUAGCUUUUCUUUGGAAGUACAUGAUAGCUUUUUGGUGUACUUGGCUGAUACAUUUUUGCCGAAAAGCUUACUACAAGUGAUGCCUUAGUUUUAUCUUUUAUUUGGGUUAAGUCAUUACCUAACCAUUCUAGAUGAUGAGAAGAAAGUAAACGCAACCAUAGAUAUUAAGUCAUACAUCAAACAUUAUCAGAAAGAUAUGCCAUUCAUGAAUUUAUGCUACGAUGCUCAACAGUGAUCAAGUGCAUUCAUAACCGAGAAUUGCGGCGAUCCGGAUCAAUUUACAUCCUGCAGGAGAGUACCCCGAUCACCAGUUAUAUACGACUGUCCAGGUCGUACACAACGACCUUUCGAUUAGCAAAAUCAAUGAUUGGGAAUAAGACUACCCGGACCCAGGGACGCACCCCCACAUGGGACCCCAUGUCUGGCCCGAUCACCAUGUGAGUUUCAGGCUACACCCCUGCCAAUCUCCAGCACGUCAAGCGCGGGUACGAAGUAUUCCCGAUCAGAGAGUUUGCUAACCUACUGGGCUUUACUGGUCCCAUACCCAGUAAGUGAUCAGAUGAUUAUCACUUGAUCAAAGGUUAAGACAACGAAUCGGGCCUUCACCACAUUAAUCUAGCAGACAGAACUACAUCUCUAGCUUCUAUCCGCUUCUCAAUUCCAAGUCAUCUUCCCAUAAAUAACAUGUAAGACUCAAAAAGUUUUCCUUAAGGUUGGUAAACCAAGCAUUGAAGCAACUAAGCAUUUCUAGACUUGGGAUACCUACUAGGGUUUGAACAAGUGGCAAAGAUGUCCUUAGAACAAGGUAUGAUCAUGCACAAGAAUAGGUUUCAAGCAACUCCUAGACUUAAUGCAUACAUAUAGCAAAUAACUGAAUAUAGGACACAUGAAAUAUUGACUUCAAAAUAAUAGGUGUAAUGCACCGGGGCUUGCCUUGUUCGCUUAAAAAGUUAGUACUGUCCGACGGGUUGGCCUCGCAGGGGACCAAUUCAAAGACUUCUUCAAACUCCGAAGGUCCUUCUGAAAAUUCCAAGUAAUCUCCUUCUGGUGCUUCGGGGUCUAUAGCACAACACAUGCAGGGGUUAGGAAUGCAAAUUUUUGAAUAAAAGACUAUACAACUUUCCUUCAUGAUAAAGUUGCAAGCCGACAAGGACUAUACAAUUUAUCAUGAUAAAGUUGCAAGCCAACACACAAAAACCCAAAAAGAUUAGCCCAAAAUUUUUAUUUUCUUACCUAACCUUACUCAAGGCCUUUCUUUUAUUUUUUUUGAAAAGGUUAUAAUUAUUUUCUAACUUGAAAAACUAAUUUCCUAUGAGUUGAGAAUAAUUUGUGAUUACGAAAUGUUAUCCCAUAUUUAUACAUUUUAUAAGAUUAAGUAUUAUUAAUUACUUAAAAGAAAGGCAUUAAAUGAAUACCUAAAUUUUUAUAGUUUUCCUAGGGUAUAAAAAUUUUAAUGCAUAAAGGAAAAUAAAACAAGCCUAACAAAAUUGGUUUCACUAAUUUUGGACACUCCUAGAAAUUUCUGUGAUUUAAAUGGUGGGAUUCCAAUUUAAACUAAUUAUUCUAUAAAGGAAAUCCAAAUUUUCCCGAAAAACACCCCCGGCGACUUUUCUCACGCGGCUCGACUCUACCCCCUCUCACUUGCGCUGGGCCCGUGACGCGGACCCACCCCUUCUCCUAUUCCUUCUACCCGCCGGCCUCCUUUUACCCCGGCCGGGCCCUAUUGGGCCGAUUCCUCUUUCCCCUUCUUCUCCUUUCGCUCGCGACGGCCCAACGGCCCUCUUUUCUUUUUCUUCGUUUCCUCGCGAGCGCGGUCUGCUGGCUCCUCUGGGCCUCCGGCCUUCCUCUCCACGGUCGACCGCGAGCGCUCCUGGGCUUUCAAGGCCGCAGCCCAACUGGCCUCCGCGUCCGGCCGGCCGACUCCCUCUCCCUCUCUUCCCUACUGACGCGCGGGCCCAAGGCGCCAGACUCUUCUUCCUCCUCCCGCCAAAACUCGCGCACGACAGGGGGCGGUGCGGCUCGCCGACCGGCGCCCUACCCGCGGCAGAACUAGGUCAGGAAAGCACCUCCAUGCCCUCACACACCCGUGCGUGGCAGCACUUCCUCGGGAGAUGGCCGGAGCCAUUCCCUCCACGGCGGCGGGCGGCGGCACCUACGGCCGGUCGCGACUACGCACGACAACGGCGCAAACUACCCCGACGACUACCACGACACCAUCCUAGCAUCCUAAGCACCUGCCUAAGGCUACCCAAGAAGGAAGAGAACAAGCGCAAGGGGGUGCUCACCGUGAGCGGGAGGUGCGGCGACGACGGACAGAAACGGCGGCGGUUUAAGGCGUACCGGCAGAGAGGCUGGGCAACAAGCUGCUAGGGUUGCUGGUGGGGUGUGGGUGGAGGUGUGGACGGAGGGAAUCGACGGGAGCUGCGGUGUGGUGGGAGUAUUUUUCUCGGCGGCGGCGGCUUGGACAGAGGAGAUGGCGGCGGUAAAAAGGACAGCGGUAGAAACGGCGGCGCGGGAGCGAUAGUUAUUCAAGCUUUCACCGCGCGCAUGGGCGACACCGUGGCCUACUCGUAGGCUUGCGUGGUGAGGAGGUGGCGUAGCUGCCGCGCUGGCGAGCGACCGACGACGGCGGCGGCGACACGUCCUGCUUGCUCUGUCAUCGUUCCCCCCCUUUUCUUCUGACACCCGAAACUUCAGAGCUCCACCACGGCCGAUUCCAAAUCCGACAGUGCAUAUGUGUCUUAAGAAAAGUUGUAGAUAAUCUCGAGUUUUCCAAUUGAUAUAUAAACCUUUGCCCGAGAUAAACAUCCAAAAGUCUCCAAAUUUAAAUUUUUCUCGGGCAAAUGACUGAACCCUUUUUCCCUUCCAUUCAGUUUCGUCAGUCACUCGAUGUGGUCAUGUGCCCGACUUAGUGAAUCAUUUCGGUGCUCCAAAUCCUCUUUCUGUAGUUCAACUUCUACCCAAUUGUGUUCUACCAUCUUCAAGGUUUCCAUUUUUCCCAAAAACACCUACCUCUUUCGAUCUACAUUCCUCUGAAGUCCAUUUCAAAGUCGGCCACACACUGCUGUCUUCAGACUUAGUCAUUUUCAGUGAUGCAAUUACAGUGACGAGAUGCUGACUUUAGGCCUUCAUUUGAAAUAGAUCCCUCUGCUAUUCUUGAUCAAAAACACCCAAAUCUAGUAGUCCAAAGUCCACACUUUAAUAUGGUGUAGUUGUUCUGAUUUACUUAUUUGAAAAAUUCAUCAGAAAUUAAUUUUGAAAAUGGACUCUGCUGCUGUUUUUCUGAAAUUUCCUAUUGUCAGAUGGUGAAUAGUGCACUUCGGUUUUAUUUGCUUUCUUUGAUUCUUUUGAGAUAUCUAGGACCAAUUCUGUUCCAAUUUCUUGAUCCUCAAGUUCUAAUCACCCUUACACCAUUAUUCCAUAUUUUUGACGAAUUUUUCUGAAUUUCAAUUCAAAAUUCAAAUUUCGGUCAAAUUUGACCUGAAUUUGAUUUUUGGCCAAUUUCUUUUUCUUUUCUUCUCAAAUUGCUUCCAAUUUUUCAAAGUCACUUUGGUGACUAAAAUGGCAAGGUAUUACAUCCCUCCCACUCCCCUUCGCCUAGUCCACUCCGGCUGCGAGCGGCGGCGGCGGCGCCGAAGGCUGCACGGGCAGCCCCUGCUCCGCCUCCGCCCCCGAAGUUGUAGGCCUGGCGCUCACGCUCGCCGUAACCUAGCGCCGCUAGGGCGGAUGGAGGGCGGCAGGCGGGCGGCGCGACCUGGGGCGGAGGGAGGGCGGCGUGUCGGGGGAGGAGGUGGAAGAGGAAAAAGAACGUACCGAUUCGGUACAUAACCGAUGGUAGGCGUCUAAAUAACCCAGAAAGCUAGUUAGAAGCUCGUUCUUUCCUCCUUUCCAGCUUACCAUUGUAACGUGGCUUUCCACAGCUUUUAGCUCAUGAAAAGCUAGGCUCAAAAGCUUGCCAUUUGUUCAAACUUUCGACUUCUGGGGGUGAGAAGCUGGCUGAAAGCCCAAACAAAUAGGGCCUAAAGAGGGUCUUCCCAGGUGGAUGGAAUGGGAUUAAAGGACCCCUUUUUGUCUCGAAAAAUUUAUCCCGAAUGGUUUUUAGAGAGAUUUAGCCUCUACCAACCGGGACUAAAGUCGAGGUUUCUAGCAGUGAGUGCAGAGGCUGAAUACAGGGCAGUGAAAAAUGCAGAUGCAGAGUGCUGCUGGCUAAGGUAAUUGCCUGGUGAAUUACAAUGUGCAGUCCUGUCAGCAACAGUGGUCUUCGGUGACAAUAUAUCUGCAGCUUACAUGGCCAGUAAUCCUGUUCAUCAUCACAGCACCAAACACAUCGAGUUGGACAUCCAUCCCUCGGUGAGUUUUGCAUCGUUCGUUUACCAACUGAUCAACAGAUUGCAGAUAUAAUGACCAAAGGAUUAGCUUCAGAUUUAUUCGACUCUUUUUUUUCUAGUCUGUGCAUUUUGUCAGGAGACGAUGUUCAGACUGCCGGGGGUGUUACACUGACAAUUAUAGUUUUCCAUUUGGCCCGCGGCCCGUGGGCCGGCCCACGGCACGACAUUUGGCCCGGUACAGGCACGGCUCGGCACAGCGGCCUUGCAGGACUGGGCCGGCCCGACCUACACCACGGGCCGGGCCUAGGCCGCUACCUCAGGCCGUGGGCUGGCUCGGCACGGCCUGGCCCAUUCAGCCCGUGGGCUAGCAACGGCCGGCACGGCUUGUUUAGGCGUGCCACGCCUGCCUCGGCCCGGCCAACGGCCGUAUAAAACACCAGCACCCGGCGACCCCUAGCCGAAACCCUACCCCGCACCCGCUCCGCUCCCGCAUUGAGCCGCCUCUCGCCCUCUCCAGCGCUCCCCUCGCUUCCUCCCGGCUCCUCGCCUCCUCCCUCCGUCCCUCGAUGCCUGCGCCUCCUCCCCCUAGAUCCUCCGCUGUCCUUGCCCGCCGUCGGUCUCACCCUGUCCCUCCCCUCUCAGAUCCGGCGUCCUCGCCCACCGCCGGCUCGCCGGUGGCCCAUUCGCCUCCCUCUCCCCGUAACUACUCUUCCACUCUGAGAUCUGGCGUCCUUGCCUGCCGCCGGCUUGCCGGUGGCCCCUCUGCCUCCCUCCCCCUGUAACUCCUCCUCCACUCUCAGAUUCGGCAUCCUCGCCUGUCGCUGGCUUGCCGGUGGCCCCUCCGCCUCCCUACCCCCGUAACUGCUCCUCCCCUCUCAAAUCCAGCAUCCUUGCCCGCCGCCGGCUCGCCGGUCACCCAUCUGCCUCCCUCCACGUAACCCCGCUUCUCCCCUAGCCCCUCUGGCCCUCCGCCUUCCUUCCCGGCUCCUCGCCUCCUUCUCCCAACCCCUCGCAGAUCCGCCUCACUCCCUGGUUCCCCACCAUUGCGGUUCGUCUUCUCCGGCUUAGGGCUCCGGCUGCGUAGGUAAACAACCUCCUCUCGUUCCUCUUCUUGUUUCGACCCCUCGCAGAUCCGCCUCCCUCACUUUUCUCCUCUUGCAGGUCUCCUAUAGGUGCCGUGCGUCGUUGAGGAACGGAACCGUCGAGGCGACGAUGUCAAUGGUGGAGGGCUCGAGGGUGUGUUCCCUGUUCCGGGUGUGCUCUUCAUUUGAGGUCUUAGGAUGGACGACGACUAUCCAACCUGCCUCAAUGAUGAGUUGCGGUUGAUGGGGGAAACCGGAGAUGAUAAUUCUGAUUUGGAGGCGGAUCGGCGAGCGCUGCUCAGUGGUGCCGUCCCCGAUUCUCAGCCAGGUAGUGGAGAUUCUCCACCACCUGCUGCUACUGGCUCUGGUGCUGGUCCGGGCUCGGAGAGUACGGGCAGCAAGAGGACUCGUUCUUGCACCUCUAAGGUAUGGGACGACUUUGAGCCACUGUACGAGGUAAUGAAUAACAAGAGGGUAAGAACUGGUGCUAAGUGCCUACAUUGCAAGAAAGUUUAUUUUGGUAAGUCUUCUAGUGGUACUGGACACUUGCAUAGGCACCUUCCAAAGUGCCCAGUCUUGCUAGGUGCUUCAUGUAUGGCUCAGUCCCAACUCAAGUACAAUCCUGAUGGCUCUCUCCAUAUGUGGGAGCACAAUCCUAAUGUUGCUCGUAUCCAGUUGUGCAGAUUGAUUGCUAGACUAGACCUUCCUUUAUGCUUUGGUGAGUCUGAUGCAUUUGAGGAGUAUAUUAAUAUUGCUCAUAAUCCUAGAUUCAGUUGUGUGUCUAGGCAAACCACCACCAAAGAUUUUGUUAAGUAUUUUGAUGAGCGUCGUACUAAACUUGUGGCUUCUUUGCAAUCUGUUUCCUUUGUUGCUCUUACAUCUGCCAUAUGGUCUGGUAAUGCUAAGGAAGAUUACCUUAGUGUGGUUGUUCAUUAUGUGAAUGCUGAUUGGCAACUAGAGAAGGCCUUCGUUUAAUUGAUGUUUCUCAUAAUGCUGAUAAUAUUGCUGAGCGCAUUACAUCUGUUGCUACUGAUUAUGGUUUAAAUGAUAAGAUAUUUUCUAUAACAUUGGAUAAUGCAUCGGCAAACACUGCCGCAAUUGGUAAGCUUCAUCCUUCAUUGACUGGUUACAUGGGCAAACUAUUUUUUCAUCAGCGUUGUGCUUGUCACAUUGUUAAUCUUAUUGUUCAGGCUGGCCUUGAUGUUUUCAAGCCUAUGCUUAGUUCAUUUAGAACUGCAAUUUCAUUCCUAAAUUGUUCUAACCAACGUAUUGUGGCAUACAAGUCAUAUUGCAUUGCUAUAGGUGUCUGCCCUCGUAAGUUUGCUUUGGACAUGGAUGUUAGAUGGAAUUCAACUUAUCUCAUGUUAAAGAAUCUAUUGCCCCAUAAGAUCACAUUCCAUUAGUUCAUAACCACUUAAUAUGGUUUGGUUGAAGGUCAAACAAUUCUAACAGAAUUACACUAGUAUGUUGCUGAAAAGAUUAUGAUAUUUCUUGAACAAUUCUAUGAUUCUACUGUUAUUCUGUCUGGUGUUUAUUAUCCAACUGCUCCAUUAAUCUUGCAUCAUAUUCUUGAGAUAGCUAGGCACCUUAAUUUCUAUGCUAAUGAUGCUAAUCUGAAACAUGUUGUUGCACCCAUGAAGUCUAAGUUCUUAGAUUAUUGGUCUGAUAUACCUAUACUUUAUGCCUUUGCUUUUAUAUUGGAUCCUAGAGCUAAGAUUACUGGUUUUAGCAAUGUGCUUCAGCUGAUGUCUCAGCUAACUGGUAAGGAUUAUUCUAGUUACUUAACUGAUGUAAGAGCUGAAUUGUCUACAAUCUUUGGCAAAUAUGAAGCUAAGUAUGGUUCUGUGAGGAUGUAGAGGGCCACUCAGCCAGGCCCUGCAGGUAAGAAAAAGACUGCUUGGGGUAAGAUCUUUGGUUCCCAGGGUGCUUCAUCUACUUAUUCUGCUGCUAGCCUUGGUGCUGGCCUGGGUUCUACUUCUGUUUCCUCCUCCCUGUCUAGGAGACAAUCUGCUAGUGCUUUAUUGCAAGCUGCUCAAACAGGUGCCUCUCUUGCUGCUGCUUCUGAACUGUCUGCCUACCUAGACAGUGACACUAUCAACCAAUAUGAUGAUGACUUCAACAUAUUGACCUGGUGGCAUGAGCAUAAGUUAUCAUAUCCUCUUCUAUCUAUCUUAACUAGGGAUGUUAUGACUGUGCCUGUCUCUACUAUAUCUUCAGAAUCUGCAUUUACUACCACUAGCAGGAUCAUUGAGGAGCGGCGACGUCGUCUGACCCUGAGAUGGUGGAGAUCUUGGCUUUGAUCAAGGAUUGGGAGCAAGGAGAUUCAAGACUGCAGCAUACCGUCGACGAUACCGAACUUGAAGAGUCAUUUGAGAAUUUGUAUCUUGAUGAGUAAGAUUUCUAAUCUCAUUUACUUCUCCUGCAACAUACUUGUUACUUGAUGAUCUCUGAUCCUCCUAUCAUUUUUUACAGAAGCUAGAUGCUUGUUGUCCUGUUGGUGCUCUGUCAAUAUUCAGGAGCAAGUUAGAACUCAGAAGCCUCAUGCUAUUGUGCUUGUGUAGGUCUUGUGACUUGUGAGUUGUGAGUUGUCAGUUGAGUUGUGAACUUGUGUCUGAACAAUGAACUUUGAUGAGCUGGCUGUACUCUUUUUUCCAUUGUAGGGUUUUCUCACGAGGUGUGAGUUUUUACCUACAAAGAUUUUUAAUGAGGCAGCAAUACAAACAACUCAAAAUAAUAUUCAAAUUUGUUUGUGUUAUUGUGAUUGUGAAUCUGUGUGAAUAUGUGAAUCUGCGUGAAUCUUUGUGAAUAUGUUGAACAUGUGAAACUGUGAAUAUGUUGAAACUAAGUUUUGAAUUUGGCUUUGAAACUGUGAAAAUGUCUUAGUGUGAUGAAUUUGAUUCUGGUUAGGGGUUUUUAAUAAAAUGUGUCACAGGCUGGCACAGGCACGGUGAGGCUGUUAAGGCCCGCCGGGCUAGCGGGCCGGCACGGCCUACGUAAGAAGGUAGCAAGCUGGGCCUGGGCCGCUUCUUCGGCACACGGGCCGGCCCAGCCUGGCACGGCUGUUGUGCGGGCCUAAACAGGCCGGGCUUAUUCGUGCUCGUGCCAGGCCAGGCCGGGCCGCCCAUUUGGCCAUCUAUACUAACAAUGUAAAUGGUUGUAACGUUCUCCUAUACAUUGUAUAGGUUUGAUCCUACUCUCUCGGUCCCAAAUUACUAUUUGUUUUGACUUUUCCAAGUACAUGACUUUGAUUUAUAAGGGCAUAGCAAAAGCUAUAAAUAUAAAAAAACCAAAAUAAAUAGAAAUUUGUGACGGACGGAGUAGAUUCUAGGCUUGACCGAGCACUAGUUUGUUAGCCAUAGGUGCUUCCUGAACAUGUAUUUAACCACCUCCGCUCAUGAAUGAAAGUGUGUUGGAUCAAAAGAUCUCUCACAUUCUCUCGUUCUACAAUCAUCAUCGUCGUCAUCUAGCUAGCUUUAAUCAGCUGCCGUGGCGACUGGCGCGAGGCAGCUCCCUGCCGGCGAGGAAGUGCGCGAAAAGCUGGCAUGUAGCAGAGCAGAAGAUGACUUGAUGGAAGGCAUGUAGUAGACGUAGUUGAUGUCGAGAAAGUAGUACUUAUAGGUCUAAUGGUGUGCAUAAACGAGCUGCAGCAUAAAGUACAUCUCCUUAAUGGGCUAUAAAGAAAGGGCCCAUUAGGCAUUUCUUGGGCAUCAAACGCCAAUUUACAUAUUUGCGAACAAGCCCACAUAUUGCUUCCUGUACUUCGUUGUAUCAGCAUGAUUGCUAUAAUGGAGAACAACUUUUAGAUGUUGAAAGGCGUGGAAGAGCACGACGAAUCCCGAGUCAGCCGUGGAAGCAGCCAGCAGAGUCGCGGGGGUGCUAUUCAAGCUCGCCGUGAACACUGCAAGAAACAAACUCAAAAUGAUUAAUAUACUUUGAUGAUGAAUGGAAACGGUAUGACAAAACAGAGGGGUUUCUGUGUACUUACGAGGCUCUAAGUCUCUGCCGUUCACUGGUGGAAAAGUGAGCAUUAGUCCUAGUUGGAGAGUCACAUAGGUCUCGAAAAUCCAAUCGGAACUAAUCUUUCGAGACUAAAUACCCCCCUCUCUAGUCCCUAGUAUUUCACCUAAGACUAAAGACCUCCUUUAGUCUGGUUAGUACUACCAACCGGGACUAAAAAUAUUUAAAAAAUAAAAAAAAAUGGGCUACCCCUGCUCCCGCCGCUUGCGCCUACGCUUGCACCUACACCGGGCCAGCCCAUGCCAUGUUGGGCCCUCGCCCACCGACGCCGCGUUGGGCAGCUUCACGCCAUGUCGGGUCCUCGCUCACGGCGCCGCGGCAACACAGCUCCCCUAUGCCGCACCAUCUCGCGGGGAGGGAGCUAGGAGGAGGAGGUCGGGGAGGUGGGGAUGGAGGGAGGGAGCAGAGCUUCGAGAGGAGGAGGCUGGGAGGAAGGGAGGGACCAGUGCUAGCUAGGCCGGGAAGGGGGAGGGAGCAGAGGGUGGAGCGAGUUGAGGGAGAGGAGAGGAGGAGAUAAGGGAGAGGAGAGGAGCGCUAGUUAGGAUCCUAAUUCAUUUUAUCCUAGCUGGUGGCUCCAACUGAAAUUAAAAAGGAUCCUUUUAGUCCCGAUUAAAAUUACAUUGCUAGAAAAAUCGAGAUAGGAAGUAAUUCAUGUUAUUCCUAGCGGAGUGGGGCCGAACUCCCGGCAGCAUGGGGCUGGCCUCCCGGUGGCACAGGGCUGCGGUGUGGGGGUCGGCCUCCUGAUAGCGCGGGGUUGCGGCUUUCCCGAGACAACGGUGCAGGGAGCGGCCUCUCGCACGGGCCCGACCUCACUCCAGAUAGAUUAAAGGGUACAGGCUGAUGACUGGUUGAGCCAUUGCUGAACAAAUAAAUCAUCGUAGAUAGAACCACCAAGCUCAUAACGAUUAAUCUAGCGUCCCUAGCAGUCGAAUCGGACCUAACCGAGACAGCGCUGGCAGCAGAGCGGUAGACUUAAAAGUUACUGGCCGAUGAAUUUAGAUGCGACGAGAUAAAAGGCUCAGUAAUAGCUCAGUGAAGGCCAAGAAUAAUAAGAUGUAUCGGUAAAAGCUUUACUGGCGGGCACGGCGACUUAAAAGUUACUGGCAUCCCAUCUAGAUCGGACCUAACCGUGCCAUCUAGAUCGGACCUAACCGAGGCAGCGCUGGCAGCAGUGCAGGAUUAAAAGCUUCCGAAUCACAAGACUCCUACUUGGGCACAUCAAAUGACUGAUACAGACUUUCCUAAUUUAACAUAAGGAAACUAAUCUUUAAGAUACAAUUAUGACCCUACAUAUCCCAUAUCUGGUAGGAUAAUGCAAUGUAUAGGCCUUUCCAGAGUCCUUGUCUGAUACGCCUUUCCAAUAUCUUUAUUAGAAUAUUCUUUUCAUUAUUUCAGGUUUUAUAGGAUUUUAUGGGCCAAAAUCCUGUGUCAACAGUUUUUCUAACUUUAAGUAAACUAUAUAAACUUGCACAUGUCUAUUCUCCCCUAUAAAUAUAGACGCCGGCCAGCGGCAUUAGCAACUCGAGAGUUGUAGAGCACACGGGAUAAUAUGUCUGGCAACAUGAGUAGUAGUCCUGGCUACUUCCUCGCCCUUUCCAUCCUGGUCCUCGGCGUUACAACUAACCUGCAGCCGCACCCUGGCUGCACAGCUGCUAGGGAGUUCCCAGGGGCCAACUCGCCCGCCAAGCAUCAGGCCCCGGUGGCUGUGGGCACCGCCGCCCCAGCCGGGACCAAUGGCAACGACACUACCGCCCCACAAGUGGCCGUUCAUGGCCGCAGUAGCCCAGGUAUGGCAUGACUGACAGCCCUUGCUAGCUCGAUUUGGGCAACCCGCAUCUCAUUUUUCGCUUCCCAACAUGACCAUGACGUUACAUUUCUAUCUGUACAUUUUAGCAGCAGCUAGCCUUCAUCUUUACAUAUUUGAUGUGGGUUUAUUUACAUAUCUUUUUCCCCUGUUUUAUGCCUUUUUGCGUGCCAAUUAGCUGGAGGGGCCGAAGGGCAAUACAUGGACCUCAAGGGCGAGUGCGCAACUCGUGCAGGGUGCUACGUUCCAGGGGUUGCAACACAGAGACACCCGACCUUUCCGCCCGUAGUUGGUUCUCCAACAGGCGGUUCUUCAGGAUUUUGGGAGUUCGUCCGUGGUGGAUGGCGGAGAAUGAAGAUUCGUCCUCCCGUACGAAAAUGACUCCCUGCAGCCGCAUCCCUUAAACCAUGGUUGAUGUCUUCUGCCCGUGUUAUAUGGGAGAAAAUCAAUGGUGUAUGGGAGUUACUACUGUGUCUGAUACCUAGCUAGCUUGGCAUCCGCUUGGUGUCGGCCAUUUGGGAAGGCUCCCUGCUGCUUAAUGAGCUAGCCUUCAUCGUUAAAUAAAACGUCUGAAAUAUGCAUUUACUCGUACUGUAACGCUGCAGUUCUCUCCUGCGUCCAACAGAGCUGGGGUUGGCUUCUGAUUCAUGGUCUGGAGUCUUCGACGAUGUGGGGCGCGGCGUACAGAUCGGACCUGUUGAUGAAGGCCCUGCCAUUUUUCUCGUGUAUUGUUUCUUAGAGUCUUUUGUUCAGGGGUUGAAAGUUGUAACAAGCAGGGUGUGCUCUGUACAACAGAGGUGUCAGCACUCUAUCGCUGUUUAUUUAUAUAUAUUUUUGAGCUAAAAUUUGAUGAAUAGCUUGCUUGUUAUAUAUGAUUCGUAUUAAGUAAAGAACUUGAUCAAUAUUAGAUCAAUAUUAGGUAUGGAAAAAAAUAGAGUAAAUGUGUUUUUAAUAUUUAGUCAUUACAAUAAAGUUAAGGUAAAUAAAUUGUAGGUGUAAGAAGUAGAAUUUGGUCAUUGCUACAAGUUUUCAUGUCACUGUAUUUGAACAAUAAUUUAUUUAUCUCAUGUUUAUUGCAAGGAUUAAAUAUUAUAAACAUAUUUACUCUAUUUUUUCCCCUACCUAUUUUUGAUCAAGUUAUUUAUCUAAUACAAAGCCCUAUGUUCAAUUUUUCACAUAAUACGAUACAGAUGGAUCGGCAAUGGAUGUACCACCUCCGCUCCUCCAAUCCUAGAGAACAGUGUCUGCACAUGGCAUGAAUGUACUUACACUAUUCUCUAGUAUUGGAGGAGCAGAGGUGGCUCUACAUCCUCUAGUAUUGGAGAAACAUUCUAAAGAGCUGGUUCCUCCGCUCGUCCAAUACCAGAGAACAGUGUCUGCACACAGCAUGAAUGUGCUUACACUAUUUUCUGGUACUGGAGGUGUGGAGGUGGCUCUCCAUACACUUUGUAGAAGAUCGAGUCAUGUGCAGAGAUGGCUUGCAGGGCGAAUAUUCUACUAUGUUGUAUCUUUAUUUUAAGAUAAUUGACUACAUGAAGUCUACUAUGCAGCGUCCGUAAUCUUUAGUGUAUAUGUAUCUUUAUUGUCAACCUAGUGAAUGUUAUGAAUGUUGAUUGGUGUAAUUUUCAUGUGAUUUAUUUUUAUCCUUAUGAAGGUUGAUUGGAGUAAAUUAUCAAUAUUGAUCAAGUUCUUUAUCUAAUACGAAGACAUAUGUUCAUUUUUCACAUAAUAAUUUAUUUAUUUCAUGUUUAUUGCAAGGACUAAAUAAUAUAAACAUAUUUACUCUAUUUUUUCCCUACCUAAUAUAAACAUAUUUACUUUAUUUUUAUCUUUAUGAAGGUCGAUUGGAGUAAAUUAUCAAUAUUGAUCAAGUUCUUGAUCUAAUUUGAAGACCUAUGUCCAGUUUUCACAUAAUACUAUGCAGAUGGACCGACAAUAGAUGUAUAAAGCGGACAGGUGGACCAAGAAGUUUGUUGAUGGCUUGCAUUAUUUUCUCGAAGUGGCCAAAACCAACAAGCCAGAGAUGGAAUUCAUAUGUUGUCCAUGCUUCCAAUGCAGUAACAAGAAGGACUACUCUUCCUGGGGGACUGUUCAUAACCACUUGUUUAGAUACGGUUUCAUGCAUAAAUAUUUGGUUUGGACCAAGCACGGCGAAAGAAGGGUUAUAAUGAAAAAUGAUGAACAAGAGGAGGAUAAUAACAAUAUUCCGAACUGGGCUACAUGUCAAGCUUUUGCAGAUACUACAAUGGGCAAGGCUGAUGAAGAAGAGUUUGUAGAAGACGGCCCUAUUCAUGAUCUUGGUCAGGUGCUAUGGGAUGCAAAGAGAGACUGCGAAACUAAGAAGGAAUCAAAAAAGCUACAGCACAUGAUAGAUGAUCACAAAAAAAUUGUUGUACCUAGAUUGCAAGCAGGGGCACAAAACACUGGGUACCAAACUGGAAAUACUAUAAUGGAAGGCAAAAAAUGAUGUGUCCGAUAAGGCAUUUGAGGAGACGUUGAAAAUUGUAAAGAACAUUCUUUCCGAGAAUAAUGAAUUGACUUCCACAACAUAUGAAGCUAAACAUGUUAUUUUCCCUCUGGGAUUGGAGGUUUAGAAGAUACAUGCAUGCCCUAAUGACUAUAUCCUCUAUCGUAGUGAUGAAUAUGAGAAAUUGGAUGCUUGUCAUGUGUGCGGAACACUGCGGUAUAAGAUCAGAUGAGAUGAUCCUGGUGAUGUUGAGGGGUAGCCUCCCAAGAAGAGAGUUUCUAUAAAGGUGAUGUGGUAUUUCUCUAUAAUACCACGUUUGAAGCAUUUGUUUAAAAACAAGGUGAAUGCUAAGUUGAUGCGAUGGCCCAAAGAAGAAUGUAAGCAAGAUGAGAUGCUAAGACACCCCGCGGGUGAGGCCUAGUGGAGAUCAAUUGAUAGUGCAUUCGUGAACUUUAAAAUUGAUACGAGGAACAUAAGGUUUUGUUUAAGUACUGAUGUAUUCAAUCCAUUCGAUGAGUUGAGUAGUGGUCAUAGUAUUUGGCCUGUGACUCUAUGUAUGUUCAACCUUCCUCCUUGGUUGUGUAUGAAGCGAAACUUAAUUAUGAUGUUGGUGCUUAUCCAAGGCUCAAAACAACCCGGUAGCAACAUUGACGUGUACCUAAGACUGUUGGUUGAUGAACUUUUACUGCUCUGGAAGGUAGAAGGUGUACAUAUGUGGGAUGAGGCUAAACAAGAGAGCUUUGACCUAUGAGCCUUGUUGUUCAUAACGAUCAAUGAUUGGCCUGCGUUGAGUAACCUUUCAGGACAGACAAACAAGGGAUAUCGGACAUGCACCCAUUGUUUAGAUGACACGGAUAACAUGUAUUUGAAAUACCGUAGGAAUGUCAUGUAUAUGGGCCAUCAUCGAUUUCUUCGUGCUAACCACCUAUUAAGAAAGAAAGGGAUGCAUUUCAAAGGGACCCCAGACCAUCGUAAAAAACCUGCACACCAUAAUGGAAAACGUGUAUUUGAGAUGAUAAAGGAUGUAAGAGUAGUCUUUGGAAAGGGUCUUGGUAGCGAACCUGUUCCGAAUGACGAUAAUUGAUAUGCACCCAUGUGGAAGAAUCUUUGUGUGAUGCAUGCACCUAAUGAAUAAUCUUUGCGUGAACGUGCUAGGCUUCAUGGGUUGUUAGGGGAACUCAAAAGAUACAUUGGAAGCACGACAGGAUCGGAAACAUAUGAAUCAACAAGAUGACCUAAAUCCGGAAAAGAGAGAUAAAGGAUAACACUACUUACGUCCUACUAGUUACACUCUCAGCAAGAAAGAGAAGGAUAACAUGUUUGAACGCAUGAAUAGUAUCCAGGUUCCAUCUAGGUACUCCUCAAAUAUAAAGAGAAUAAUAAAUAUAAAAAAAGAAGUUCUACAAGUGCUAUGGCUGGCCUCAGCGCUUGCAGCAAUUCACCCCGUUGUUGGAGCGCUGCCGCAGCCAAGUAGCAACUGCCAGAGAAGAUAUGGCCAACUCGAGAUCCACUACCCGUUUGGCAUCGGAUCAGGCGACUCGCCUGACCACUGUGCCAUGCCUGGCUUCUACCUGAACUGCAGCGACUCCAAGACAUUUCUUGGUAAUGUCGAGGUGCUUAACAUCUCGAUACAAAACAGCACUGCACGGAUGAGGGUGACCAUGGCCUCAUCUUGCUACAACACCUCCACUAAGGACAUGGACUACAACGCUCGGGCGUUGAACCUUACAGGUACGCCCUACAGGCUCUCCGACACGGCGAACAAGUUCACGGUUGUUGGGUGCAGAACAUUGGCAUACAUUGCUGAUCAGGACAACGUGGGAAAGUACGCGAGCGGCUGCGUGUCCAUAUGCCGGCGAGGUGAUGUGAGCAUCCUCACCGAUGGUUCAUGCUCUGGAAUUGGCUGCUGCCAGACAGCCAUCCCCAAGGGGCUACAAUACUACAAAGUGUGGUUCGAUGAAGGCUUCAACACAUCCCAGAUCUACGACAUCAGCCACUGCAGCUACGCGGCGCUGGUCGAGGCAUCCAACUUUACAUUCUCCACAAGGUAUGCUACAUCGUCGGCGUUCUAUGACACUUAUGGCAGGAAGCCGCCGUUGGUGGUGGACUGGGCUAUCGGGAAUGGAACGUGUGAGGAAGCCCGUAACAAGCCUGGAUCAUAUGCUUGUGUCAGCAGCAACAGCCAGUGCUUCAAUUCCACAAACGGACCAGGCUACGUCUGCAAUUGCUCCAAAGGGUUCCAAGGCAAUCCAUACCUUGUCGACGGAUGCCAAGGUAACGAAUCUGCAUAAACCUACAGACUACAUAAUUGAAACAUGAAAGAAGCUGAGUAGAGCUGUAGAAUCUGAAGCUUAAUUAUGAUAUGUAUAAAUGUUACUGAAAAAAUAGUAGUAGUACAGUUUCACCAGAAGCUACAAGCUAAGUCUAUUCCUGGUCUCUGAAGUAAAAUUUGACGCUCUAAACAUGUUAAAUGUUCCAUAUUAUCAAUCAAUAUACUGCAAAUUUUUUACAAAAUAUUUUUUAUGCAAUUGCUAAUACUGCAGAUGUUGAUGAGUGCAAGGAUCUGGAAACCAACCCUUGCUCUGUGAAGGAAGCUUGCAAGAAUACUCAUGGUGGAUUUGAAUGCACUUGUCCUCAACAGUCCCCCAAAGGCAACGCCUACAACGGGACAUGUGAGAAAGACCAAUCAAUUCCACUUAAAGUCACAAUUCCAAUAGGUACACCUAUCUUUCCUCUUUCAAUACAUUUAUUAUGUUUUAGAAGUAUAUAUGUUCAAAACAGAUCCACGAUCGUGAGAAGUUGGUAGAUAUUAUAAGGAGUAUCAAGCUGAUAACGUAUCCAACGGACAUGGAGACACAACCACGAAAACACAAAUAUUAAACGAAUUGCUUACCAAUUAUUAAUUGUUUCAGCUAACCAGAGUACUUUUCAGACUCUUUUUUCCAGCCGUCUAACAACUUGAAGUUUCCAUACAUGUCUGAUCUGCAGGAAUUUUUGGCUGUCUUUUGGUUGGUCUUUUACUUUUCCUUAUUAAAGAAUGGAUCAAGCACAAACGACGAAUAAUCAGGCACGAAUACCGAAGAUGAACGAAUGUUUUCAGCAGAACGGUGGCCAACUUCUAAUGGAUAUGAUGAAAGUAGAGAGUAACAAUUCAUUUCAGUUGUAUGACCGGGAAGAAAUUGAGGUGGCCACAAACAACUUCGAUGACAGAUCAAUCAUUGGAGAAGGUGGUCAGGGAACCGUUUAUAUGUGGCAAAAUCUUGAUGCACAAAACAAUCCUGUUGCAAUCAAGAUCUGCAAGGGAUUCGAUGAGAGUAGGAGAAGGGAAUUUGGUCAGGAGCUGCUUAUACUUUCUCGAGUAAAACAUGAAAACAUUGUCCAGCUUCUAGGUUGCAGCUUGCAGUUUGAAGCUCCAGUUCUGGUGUACGAAUUUGUGCCAAUCAAACCCUGCACUACCUGAUCCAUAGACAAGAUGAUGCAUCCAUCAGAACUAUGGAAAUCCGUCUUAAAAUUGCCACUGAAAUUGCUACUGCACUAACAUACCUACAUUCACUUAGUCACCCUAUCUUUCAUGGAGAUAUCAAAUCUGUCAACAUUCUUAUAGGCCACAAUCUCUCCGCUAAACUUUCUGAUUUUGGAUGCUCAAUGAUUAGGUCUGCUGAUGACAAUGUUCAAGUAGUGAAGGGGACAAUGGGCUACUUAGAUCCAGAGUACCUUUUGAACUUUGAGCUUACUGAUAAGAGUGAUGUUUACAGUUUUGGUGUUGUCCUUUUGGAGCUCCUAACACGUAGGAAGGCACUGUCCGAAACAAAGGAGAGCCUCGUGUCUGUCUUCACGGAAGCCAUGAAGGAGGGCAAGCUUGUGGAGCUCAUAGACACGGAGUUAGCCAACCAAGAAAACAUGGAUUUAUUACAUCAAAUGGCUGCAUUAGCAAGAGAAUGCUUGGCCAUGACUGGUCAACACCGACCAAUGAUGAGCCAGGUAGCCGAGGAGCUCCAACGAUUGGCAGGCCCGGUGCCACAGCGCACUCGACUGUUUCAUGGUAUUAACGCACUCAUGUUGCAGGGACGGUCGUCUAACAAUGCAGCAGGUGACUAUAUUAGUGAAGAAAGCACAGAUUACUACAACCUCAAGGAGAAAGCCUCCAUGAGCACAGAGUUUGCACGAUGAAAUCAGUACGCAUUAGUUGGUUGCGGCAGUGUAGACAUGCAUAGUAUAUUGACGUGUGUCCUAUUUAGAUACGUUCACAAUGUCAUAACAUAAUUUUGUUGAACUUAAUACUUCCUCAGUAAAGAUUUGUAUAGUUUCUAUAUAUACUGAAAUUACAUUGUAUCAGGAAAGUGGCUUUUGCCGUUCAAAAUUAUUGCAUUUAAAUAUGGUAUAAAGACUACUUUACAGCCGGCCGUAUUUUUGUUAAACGGAACGGCCGGUUCCAUCCACCGUCCAGCCAGGAUCUAACAGCCACGGAAGCUAGUGCUCGCGGGGUCCACAGGUCAGACCAGACGUUUGCUCCCCCAGGCAUACUAUAGAAAAUCUCGGGGCGCACCUGUUCGUCUUCAUCCGCUGAACUUUUUUUUAUUUUUAACCCUUUUUUUUCUUUAUUUUUAAAAAUAACCUCACCCGAGUUUUAUUUGCGCGGGGUGACCCUUUUGGCCGCGCCAGACCGCCUGGCGCGGCAGGAACACGUUGCCGCGCCGCAUGCACUGGCGCGGCGGCCCCUGCCACGCUGGCGCGGCGAGUCGUGGCGCCAGGUGGGCGCUGACGUGAGCGGGGCGUUCGCCGCGCCAGCCCGCCUGGCGCGGCAGGGCCAGCACUAGAUCCACGCGCCGGCUCCCUUCCUCCUCCCUCCCUCCUUUCUUCCUCCUCCAGACACACCCGAGCCCAAGCUCCUUGCGCCGCCCCCCGCCGCCCCACCCCCAAAUCCACCCAAAAUCCGGCGUUUUCGGUGGGGGAAAGUAGUGGAAAUCGAUCCCUGCUUCGUGUGGAAGGUAUUCCCCUACUUUUUCUCGUAUUUUACCGUUGCAUUUGGUAGAUCGGAGGAUGUUUAGGUGACUUAGGGUUAGGUUAGUGAUUUGAAAUUUCAAUGAAAUGCAAUGGUGUUUUGUGUUAGAUGAUACGUAGUUCAUACGCAAUUGAGUCUCUGCCCGCGAUAUUGACGUGUAGAACUUGUCGAUUUAAGGAUAUAUUCAUUGAAUCGUAUAGUGCAAUGUAUAUGUGUAUUUUUUGUUUGCAAUUUGUCCAAUAUAUGUAAUGUGUGUAGUUGAUAUGUCGAAUAUGUGCAAUGUGUAGUGUAUAUGACAUGGUGAAAUGUUUGUAUUUUGUAGAUGGAUCGUUUAGUUCGAUUUUUUGAUGGUGGUGUUGUGAAACAAAAUGGGGAGUUAGAGAAUAUGAAUGAGUCAAUUGAAUUCUUCGAUGGUCCUCCAAGUUUUAGUGAUUUAGUUGACCGUGUAAUGACGAAGUAUGGAUGUAGAGUGGAUGAGAUCGGUUUGAGAGGUCGUUUUGAUUGUGGGAAAGGUAGAGCUCAUUAUGUUCUCAUGAAGUUAGCAUCCGAUGCGAAUUGGAAGCACUAUAAGGAUGUUGUGCACGAAGCUAAUGUUGCAUGUUUGGAGGUUAUAGUCGAAAUUGUUCGUAUGCCUGGCCCAAAUGUUGUCAUGAGGGAGGAAGUGGCGGUAGUGAACCAUAAUGGUACCCAGGAGUCAGAAAUGUUGCAUCACGUGUUAGGUGAAACAGAACGUGAUUUUGACUUGGCUAUUGCCAAUGAUGAUUUUCCCAAUAACAUUUUUGAGAGGGAUGAAGCAAAUAUAGAUGUUGAUAAUGUCUCUAUGGGUUCCGAAGAUUGUGAAUUGGAGGAAGAUGGGGUAGUAGGUGUGGAGGUAGAGGAGGAAUCACUAUUUGAGAGUGGUGGGCAUGAAUAUGAGAACGUCGGGGUAGAAAAUGAAGAGGAUGGACCGCAAUUUGACACCGCAACCGUACAUGAUGUAGAAGGCAUUCGUCGUAUGGACGAUUGUUUUUCUUACACCCAGUAUGAGUUGCGGUUGUUAAAAGAACGUGAUGUCGAACUGCCAUCUGUUCCCAAUGAUAAGGACAUAAGUAUGGUUCACAAAGCAAUAUGUGAAUCUAGUAUGGUGAAUGCCGAAGGGACGUCCAUUGGUGAGAGUCCAGUGAUUAAGAAGGGGAUGAAGUUCAAUAGUCUUGAGGAGCUGAAGUUUUUCUUGGCUGACUACGCGGUGAGGUUACAUAGACCUUUUAGCGUAGUUCACUCUGACAAGAACUUAAGAUACAAUGUGAUGUGCAAGCAAGGAUGCCAUUGGCGUGUAUGGUCUCGGCUAAUAUCAAGCACCGGACAAUUGAAAAUUUCAAAUGUUGUGCAACCGCAUACUUGUCGGUCGUCACAGCCGAAGCGAGAGCAUGUACAGUGCACAGCAAAGUACCUUGGACGGCGUAUCCUAGGCAUUAUCCGUAAAGACAGCGAGACAUCGGUGCCAUCACUCGUGGAGUCCAUCUUCAUCUUUAGUGGGUACCGUGUGAAGUAUUCGAAGGCUUGGCGGGCGAAGCAACACACUGUUGCCCUGCUUUGGGGCGACUGGAAGGAGUCGUACGGCAUAGUUCCUAGGGUACUCUCAGCUAUGACCUACUAUAAUCCCGGAGUUAAAUGGUGCAUCGACUCAUGUGGCAUGAUGCUUCCUGACAAUGGAGUGUUGAAGCAUAUACUGCAAAGGGUAUUUUGGUGCUUCCCUCAAUGUAGUGAGGCAUUUCAACAUUGCCGUCCUGUGAUACUUGUGGACGGUACAUUCUUGACUGGCAAGUACAAGGGUACAUUAAUGAUGGCAGUUGUUGUAGAUCCAGAACAAUAGCUUGUGCCUCUUGCUUUUUCCUUGGUCGAGAGUGAGAAUAAUGAGAGUUGGUCAUGGUUUAUGAAACUUGUUCGGGUACAUGUUCUUGGACCUUCACGGAUAGUGUGUAUGAUAUCAGAUAGGCAUCAUGGGCUCCUAAAUUGUGCGAAGGACCACAUUGAUGGUUUUCCACCGCUUGUGCAUAGGUGGUGCAUGAGGCACUUUGCUGCCAACAUGUCACGUCGGCAGAAGAGCAAUCGUGUGAUUGGAAAAUUGAAAUUAUUAUGCAAGGUUCAUACAGAGAGAGAAUUUUGUGAGAAGUUAGAAGAUCUAGUGAAGGACUUGAACGACGACGCAAAAGAAUUGUUGAAGGGUGAAAUGGAGGACAAGGAUAAAUGGGCGCAGGCUUUCGAUGAGGGAGGGAUGCGCUGGGGAAUUAUGACCACGAACUUCUCGGAAUCACUCAACGGAGUUUUCAAAGGCAUCCGAAGUAGGCCCGUCGCUGGAAUUAUUGAAUACACAUUCGAAAAAUGCAACGCCUACUUUGUGAACCGAUGGGAAAAGGCACGUGAAAUGUUGGAUCAAGGCUAUAGAAUUGGGUAAGUUGCAGAUAAUUAUUUAUCAGAGGCUGAGCUUAGAUCCGUGCACCACUUAGCAGAACCGUACGGGCAAGAAAGGAUGGUGUAUUCUAUAAGAAGUUACGGUACGACUAACAUUGGGGGUGAGAGUCAUGGAGGCCGACACUACAUAGUGGAUCUGCACGAAGUUUCGUGCACCUGCAAUGUUCCUCAAUUGUUGCACCUUCCAUGUUUACACUUCAUUACAGCUUGCAAGGCAAGAGGUCUUAACUAUGAAAGCCCCAUGUACAUGUCACCGUUGUACUCUAGGGAGCACACCAUCAAAAUAUGGGAAUCAAGCUUUCAACCUUACCUAGAUCCGUCACAAUGGCCGGCAUAUGAAGGGGCAGGGUACGUGCCUAACCCCAGUUUAAUGGGAAAUAAAGUAGGAAGGAGGCAGAAGAAGCGUUUCACAGGCGACAUGGACGUGUCGGAAGGGAGGCUUUCUGCAGAUUAUGAUACUGGUGAUUUUGAUAUUGACAAGUCGGAAAAUCGUUGCUCCAAGUGCCACAAGAUCAUUAGGAAUUGCACGUGCCGCAGUAGAAAAUCAAAAGGCACUAAAUCUAGACCGAGCAGUAAUAGGCCGCGUACUUCGAACAAUUGGGUAUGCGCGUUGCUUGUAUUAUGCGUGGCUAUUAUUUUAUCUUUUUUUAUAGUAGUACAUUAUCAUAUUUUCCGUACUUAUCAUAUAAUGAAGCUUUUUACUAACGAUCAUUUUUGUUGUUUCUUUAGGAUGGCGGCCCCAGGGUACCCUCUUCUUGAGGCUGCUUACGACUUGCACCACCGUGCCCACCACCUCGCGGACCUAAAUGAGGUAUAACAAUGGUUGCUAAUUUUUGCUGAUGAAUGCAUACUUAGGAUGAGAAUUGCAAGAUUUUCGUAUGAAAUGUUCUUAUAAAUUAAGGAGCUGCCUAUCGUUACUAUUCACUUGUGUACAGUGUAAACAAUUUUAUACUGCAAAUGUCAUUUGUAUCAUAUUUGUGUUACUUACCACUUUAGAAGCCCGUUAUUCACAAUUGGAUUGACUUCUCAUUUUUUAAUAAUCUUAUAAUGUUUUGCAGAAUUUGACACCACUCAGGGCUAGGGUGCACUCACCACUUAGGUGGGAUGAGCGGUACGCCCAGUACCUGCAGAGAGCAGGUUUCUUGGAUAUCGCUGUUCAGGUCGUGGGGGGUCUCCCUCCAAUGGACGGACCACUGUUGACCGCUAUGGUCGACAGGUGGCGUCCGGAGACUCACACGUUCCACCUGCCCUUCGGAGAAAUGACCAUCACAAUGCAGGAUGCGGCUAUGAUACUCGGCCUUCCACUGGAAGGGCAGCCAGUGACAGGUAUUAUACAGAAUGAGAAUUGGCGUGAUAUGGUCGAGAUGCUUAUUGGGAUUAGGUCGCCAGAGCCAGAGGGUAGAGAUAUCUCGAAGAAAACGUCCGGUGUCAGCUCGGCAUGGUUGAGGGAGCACUUCGAAGUGUGUCCUCCGGGAGCAAAUGACGAGGUCGUGCAACGCUAUGCUCGAGUGUGGCUAUGGCACUUUGUCAGUACAUUCCUCCUUCCAGAUGCAGCUGGGAACACAGUAUCGUGGAUGGUUCUCCCCAUUCUAGGUCAGGUUUGGGAAAACAUAGCCGUUUACAGCUGGGGCUCAGCGGCUCUUGCCUGGCUGUACAGACAGCUAUGUGAGGCUUGCCGGCGCACAGCGAGAGAUUCCAAUGUUGGAGGGUGCACUUAUAUGCUCCAGAUUUGGAUUUGGAGCGAAUGCCCNNNNNNNNNNNNNNNNNNNNNNNNNNNNNNNNNNNNNNNNNNNNNNNNNNNNNNNNNNNNNNNNNNNNNNNNNNNNNNNNNNNNNNNNNNNNNNNNNNNNNNNNNNNNNNNNNNNNNNNNNNNNNNNNNNNNNNNNNNNNNNNNNNNNNNNNNNNNNNNNNNNNNNNNNNNNNNNNNNNNNNNNNNNNNNNNNNNNNNNNNNNNNNNNNNNNNNNNNNNNNNNNNNNNNNNNNNNNNNNNNNNNNNNNNNNNNNNNNNNNNUAUAGUUUUUUAAGCUAACUUCCGUAUAAUGUAGAUGAAAUAAGUAUGCGUGAAAAUUUUUGAAGGUGGAAUGGAAACCGUAUGACCGUGAGCAGCUUAGCCAUAUCGUCUUUUCACCGACGUGAUACAGAGACGGAGAGCUGUGGAGGUGCACGACCCCAAUGAUAUUGUACUACGUGGUAGAGUUUCAUAUGCCGCAUAGGGUGAUGCGGCAGUUUGGGAGGAUGCAACCGUGCCCUCCUUUGGAAUUAUCAACUUCACAGCAGCUGCACAGGUACGCAGGAAUAAAUAACUAUUGGAGGCUAUUCAAUUAACGCAAUUAACAUGCUAUACUAAUACUUCACUAAUUUCUGAUGCAGUAUCGAUCGCAGAAAGCGGUACAAGGAGAAUGAUUGGAGGUUGAAGCAUGGCCAGUACCUCCUCCUGUGGCAGAACAAGCAAGGAUGCGAUCCUGAAGGUGGACCGUACUGGCGACCAAACAAUGAGUACAUACGAUGGUACUGUACUUCGAUGAGAACCAAAGUGAAACCAUCUUGGACUAAUGUGCCCAUUGAGGAUGCACCGUCUGAUGAUGACGCUGACAUAGCUGACGUGUACGACACGGUGACACGCCAUGGGACACAGCCUGAGUGUGCACCUCUCCACGACUACAUGUGAAGAUUUCGGUUUGUAAUUAUAGUAUCGUCACAUUGAUCACUUAUGGAAUGAAAACUCCUUCGUGCAGGGACAGCAGCUUGCAAGGCUCUCAAACGAGGCGGGCGUGAUUAUGGAGCACGCCGUCGGGGAAGGUGAUGGUCUGCUUCGCGCUUUUGCAGAGGUAGAAGCCCAAACUAAUUUUCACUUAUACUCGUACUAUCUUUGUAACCAUCAAUAACAUAGUCGUGAAUAUAUGGCAGAGGGUUCGUAAAAGUUGCAGGCGAAUGGCUAUGAGGAUGAACUGCAUGACGUCCUCAGAUGCGCACGACGGGGGCAAUGUCCAGGAUACUUCUUCAGGAUCACGUCGGACUGCAUUGGCGACUACCCCCAGGGCUGCAACAUCGUCCACUGCUGCAGGUCCUAGCAGGAGAUCGCAAGGUAAGGAACCCGCAUCCCCUCAGGAAAGCGAGGACUCUGAAGGUGAGCAGUCUGAGGAUGAUGACCCUACAUAUGGUGAGGAACUGGAGAUUUCUCACGAUGCUCCACCUGUGACUCAGACGCAGGGAGAGUCCAGCCAGGUAUAUUCACAAGUUUCUCCAAAUUCAAUUAUACAUUUUAAUGUUCCCUCCCGAAGUGUCAUACAAAUUUUAUGAUUUGUGCCCAAUUAUUCCAUAGGAACCUGCACCUCAUACUCGGUUGCCACGCCGGCGUCGUCGUUCACGGGACCACACCGACGUUGGCAGCGCCAAUGCGCUGCCCACGCAUCCAAGGAGGGAGCGUCGCCCAAGAGAUCCUUUUAGCCCUCUAGAUGAGCGGCGGUCACGACACUGAACCUAGCAUGUCUCAAGACUUUUGGAACCGUCACGUGUGUCNNNNNNNNNNNNNNNNNNNNNNNNNNNNNNNNNNNNNNNNNNNNNNNNNNNNNNNNNNNNNNNNNNNNNNNNNNNNNNNNNNNNNNNNNNNNNNNNNNNNNNNNNNNNNNNNNNNNNNNNNNNNNNNNNNNNNNNNNNNNNNNNNNNNNNNNNNNNNNNNNNNNNNNNNNNNNNNNNNNNNNNNNNNNNNNNNNNNNNNNNNNNNNNNNNNNNNNNNNNNNNNNNNNNNNNNNNNNNNNNNNNNNNNNNNNNNNNNNNNNNNNNNNNNNNNNNNNNNNNNNNNNNNNNNNNNNNNNNNNNNNNNNNNNNNNNNNNNNNNNNNNNNNNNNNNNNNNNNNNNNNNNNNNNNNNNNNNNNNNNNNNNNNNNNNNNNNNNNNNNNNNNNNNNNNNNNNNNNNNNNNNNNNNNNNNNNNNNNNNNNNNNNNNNNNNNNNNNNNNNNNNNNNNNNNNNNNNNNNNNNNNNNNNNNNNNNNNNNNNNNNNNNNNNNNNNNNNNNNNNNNNNNNNNNNNNNNNNNNNNNNNNNNNNNNNNNNNNNNNNNNNNNNNNNNNNNNNNNNNNNNNNNNNNNNNNNNNNNNNNNNNNNNNNNNNNNNNNNNNNNNNNNNNNNNNNNNNNNNNNNNNNNNNNNNNNNNNNNNNNNNNNNNNNNNNNNNNNNNNNNNNNNNNNNNNNNNNNNNNNNNNNNNNNNNNNNNNNNNNNNNNNNNNNNNNNNNNNNNNNNNNNNNNNNNNNNNNNNNNNNNNNNNNNNNNNNNNNNNNNNNNNNNNNNNNNNNNNNNNNNNNNNNNNNNNNNNNNNNNNNNNNNNNNNNNNNNNNNNNNNNNNNNNNNNNNNNNNNNNNNNNNNNNNNNNNNNNNNNNNNNNNNNNNNNNNNNNNNNNNNNNNNNNNNNNNNNNNNNNNNNNNNNNNNNNNNNNNNNNNNNNNNNNNNNNNNAUAUUUAUUAGUAGGCCCAGUAAUUCUGACUACAUUUAACACAAGGCACAUGGUACUGACAAGACGCCCACAAAGUGUUCUGCAAUAGGAUUAGAUCAGACCGGUGCGCAAUCAUGGAUAAGAAUAACACACACGUGCAUUAAAUGUUAGGGGUACGUAUUGCCCCAUUUGUACUUCGUCUUCUACUAUUAUUGCAUCACAAAUACCUUCAAGUACACCCGCUCUACCAGCGCUAUGCCUUCCUCCUCUUCCACCGCCCACUCCUCCUCGUCCUCCAUCCAAAUCAUCAAUCCCAUCGAAGCUACUACAAUUUCUUUCACACUCUAGCGCUGACUACUAGCUCGGAGAGGAAACUUUGAUGCGUUUGGACAUAGUUCUCUCGAAAAUGAAAAUAGUUUUUGACAACUAAUUGUAGUUCCCAGAAUAAACAUAAACAUAAUUUUCUCAUAAAAGAACAUAGUUUUCACAGCUACAGAGAAACAUGAUCCAGCUACAUCAACACGUUCAUCUAGUCCUAUUCACCUUCAUAAAGUAACUCGUCGUCAUCAUCAUCAUCAUCAUCAUCAUCUCCGGCAACAACAACUCCCUUGCCUUUCUUAUCGACAUUAACCUUACCAACAGGUAAAUCAGCAACAAGAGCCUUCAUCGUCUCCAUCUGUGCCUCUUCCGCUUUUUGUUGUAACUCUUCCAUUUCAAUCCUUCUCUUUCUUGCCCUAACUUGCUGCAAAUAUUUUUCCCAUGAACCCUCAGGGUAUUUCACAUUCGGAUCAACCACAUAACCUAAGCGAUCUCUUUCCUCCCUUAACCUUUGUUUCUCCAACUCCCUCUCCUCCUGCAACUUCCUCCUAUUUUCUCUCUUCUCAUUUUCAGUUAGAGGUCGUGGAUACUUGGAUCUAUUUUGCCUCUAAUACUUAAUAAUAGUUUCCCUUGCAUAAAGUCCUUUAGGUUCCACUCCAGUCUCAUGCACCAUAUCUUGAUAUAUUUUCCCCCAAAGUAAGUCGUCGUCAGGAAUAGGCACAUCAUACUUCUUCCUAAUCUUUUCUUUAAUUUCUUGUUGUUUCCUUGACUUCCAUGGUUCCGAUGUAUUUCUCAACUUUAAUAACAAAUCAUAUCGACCACAAAAAUCUUCCCAAUCACAUGUCCUUCCCUCCUGCAACAACAAUUCAAUAUUCUUACAAAUUUGAAACAAGUUACAACCUUCAUAAAACAUAAGAGACGAGUAGUUACUAACCCAGUAAUCGCCAUGUGCAUUUCCACAGAACGAACCAUAUCCAAGUUCAGAAGGCACCACACCUUCUGUUGCUAAUAUACCACACUUGCAUCUAUCACUAGGAGAGGACACACAUGGCCACGGUGCCUUUUCACUUUCGAACUCCCGCACUUCCUCCUCUGUUGGCCACAUUGCCAUUGGGCCGUAUAUAUACUCAUUGAAAUCACACAACGGCCACCCAUCCUGCAAAAAACCCAUGACGUGAACUACUCAUACGUAAAGUAACUACAAAACGCUGCUCCAACUUCCAAGCAAUAAUAUCAAGUAAAUAACAUCAAGUUAAAGUAUGAACAAUAUACUGCAAAAUUAUAACCGCUAGCUAAACGACAUACUAAUAUUCUCGUAAUAUACUUACAUGAGUCUUUAGGGAGCAUCGAAAGAAUGGAGUAAACUUAGGUGGAUCCCCUAAGUUAGGACGCAUAAGCUUAGUAGGAACACCACACUUGCACAUGGGAGGAUCCCUCACACGCCUACAAGCAGCCUCCUGCUUCUGCUCCUCGGUCAUCCUAGGUGGGUUUGGUGGAGGAGGAACCCAACGCCUAAACUGAUGGUAUGGUUUAAGCUCUGUGCUAUGAUAUGGGAAUAGGCGGAUCCUAGGAUCAUAUUUGUCGGGUCCAUCGAUCCACUGAAAGAAAUCACAAGGUGCGGCAGGCAGUGGAUCAAAAGUCCAUUUGCAUACAUAGAAUGCUCUUCCAGCUGUCUUUGGAUGCCUUGAUUGUUUCACCUCUGCUUGCGCGCCACAUCUACAAAGAGGUACCGGAAGGGCAGGAGGUACGGGACCAGCACCAUUGGACUCGCCCACAUAACGCACAUACCACCUACGCCGUUUGUAUUCACAACCAAACGACGCCAUCUCACCUGGAAAUCAAGUGCAACAAAUUUAAUACACAAAUAAACUUUAAACACGUAAUCCAUACAAGCUAUAUACAUCAUUUUGAUAAAAUGUAAAUACUCGAUCUACAAAAUACAAACACUGAAACAAAAAUGAGACUAAUUAAUUGAAGAUAUAAAAAAAAUACAUGUCAUGUAAACCACACAAUUGGAUGAAUAUAUACCUAAAUCGAAGCAUUCAACAAGUUCUACACGUCAAUAUCACGGGCAGAGACUCAAUUGCGUAUGAACUACGUAUCAUCUAACACAAAACACCAUUGCAUUUCAUUGAAAUUUCAAAUCACUAACCUAACCCUAAGUCACCUAAACAUCCUCCGAUCUACCAAAUGCAACGGUAAAACACGAGAAAAAGUAGGGGAAUACCUUCCACACGAAGCAGGGAUCGAUUUUCACUACUUUUCCCCACCCAAAUCGUCGGAUUUUGGGUGGAUUUGGGGGUGGGGCGGUGGGGGCCGGCGCUGCAAGGUGCUGCUGUGUGGUGUGUCUGGAGGAGGAAGAAAGGAGGGAGGGAGGAGGAAGGGAGCCGGCGCGUGGAUCUAGUGCUGGCCCUGCCGCGCCAGCCCAGCGCCCACCUGGCGCCGCGACUCGCCGCGCCAGCAUGGCAGGGGCCGCCGCGCCAGUGCAUGCGGCGCGGCAGCAUGUUCCUGCCGCGCCAGGCGGUCUGGCGCGGCCAAAAGGGUCACCCCGCGCAAAUAAAACCCGGGUGAGGUUAUUUUUAAAAAUAAAGAAAAAAAAGGUUAAAAAUAAAAAAAAGUUCUCAUCCGCUCUCGUUUUCAUUUCGCACCGCCGACUCUCUCUCUCUCUAUCUCCGUCCCCGGCGAUUUCUCCGCUGCACCUUCAAUCCACUCAAACCAGACAAAUCGCGAGGGGCGGAAUUGCACAGCGAAGACGGAGAAGCGAUUUGAGCGCACACGGAGGUGAGUCGUUCGUCGAUUUGCUGCGGGUUUCUCUCUCAAUCCCCCCGAAUGCGCACUAAUUUGGAUUCAUUGUCUCCAACAUUUUUUUCCGAUGGAUAGACGACGGGCAUGAGACCACGGAAGUGAGGAUGAGCUGGGGUGGGGGGCCAAGGGGAGCGCAGUUCUUACCCUGAGAUCCACGCAUGUUAGUGAUUUUUGUGUUUUUGGUUUUGUUGCUAGAUGCCCUUCUAAAAUCUGUCCUCCCAUCGAGCAAUCCCAACUUUUACGUGUGCGUUUUUUACUGCAGAGAUCUCAGCGGAGCGAGGAAGGAUACUUCUGGCACACCAAGGUGUGCUCGCAAAUCCACCUCCCCCAUCGAGCAUAGGACGCAAAAACAACGCUGAGGUAUCUAAGGUUCCCCCUGAAUCCCUGCUUGGAUGCUGCGUAAGAGGACUGUUUUUUCUGAUGCAGACAAUAUCAUUCAUGUUUUACUAUUUUUUAUUUGUGCAAUAGCAUUUGUUAGUUUUGGGGAUUAGGCAGAAUAUUGAGUUUUUGGGGACUGGUACGAUGUUUGUCCUGAGGAGAAAUCUGAGUUCAUGCACGUGACACUGCUGCAGUGAUGUUUAGGCCUACUAUAGGUUCCAUUGCAUGCAAAUAAUUUUACAAUAAAAGUGGCAUGGACAAUAGUACUCUUUUUUUCUUAUUGGCUCUUUACAGUGGUGAUCAAAUUAACCAAAACUGUGAAGUCGGAGAUUUAGUGGUUCAGUAGCUGACCCAAUAACUCGUACUGCUUUUUUGGUAUGACAAAGAUAAAGGUACCCUACAUGUCAGUUUGCUUUGCUUAAGUCUUCUCUUUUUCGGAGCCAACCAAAAUAUACAGGAAUGAUAGGCUUUACUGGAGUUGUGGGAGUUUUUUUUUUCCAAUCUGACUAACCCCCAGCGUGGAUCUAGGCUAUCAAUGCAUGUUACUUAGCUGUGGUCUACACUAUCAGCUAGCCUUUUUUACUCUGAAAUAUUCAAUUUUUUAAUCGAGUAUAUAAUUGCGUACGUCAUUAUCAUAAUUUGCUUACGAGAUUAUAUAAACUGUCUACAAAAUUAUUAUAAAUUGCUUGACAGAUUAUGUAUUUUUCUAUUGUUCUUAGAGUGCAAGAGAAGCAUGAUUAAAGGGUGUGAAAGUAGCAGCUUCUAUACACAGUGGAGAGGGGCCUAGAUGCACAUAAAUGUGAGACUCUGUUUCCAUUCUUUUUGUUUUCUGAUCUGAACUUUUUUUAUGUUUCUUUAAUUGGUUUUCAGAGUAGUUGUAGUAACAUUCUUCCUGUACACAGUUCUAGUAAAUUUUCAGAAUAGCUUUUAGAGUUGGAAUUACCAACCGGGACUAAAUGUUUUGUCCCGGUUGGAAUUAGCAAUCGGGACAAAAGUGGGGGGGGGGGGGGGGGGGGCUUUUUUCCCGGUAAAAAUUUUAAACCGCGCAAAAGGGGGAGGGGGGGGGGAUUUUUUUNNNNNNNNNNNNNNNNNNNNNNNNNNNNNNNNNNNNNNNNNNNNNNNNNNNNNNNNNNNNNNNNNNNNNNNNNNNNNNNNNNNNNNNNNNNNNNNNNNNNNNNNNNNNNNNNNNNNNNNNNNNNNNNNNNNNNNNNNNNNNNNNNNNNNNNNNNNNNNNNNNNNNNNNNNNNNNNNNNNNNNNNNNNNNNNNNNNNNNNNNNNNNNNNNNNNNNNNNNNNNNNNNNNNNNNNNNNNNNNNNNNNNNNNNNNNNNNNNNNNNNNNNNNNNNNNNNNNNNNNNNNNNNNNNNNNNNNNNNNNNNNNNNNNNNNNNNNNNNNNNNNNNNNNNNNNNNNNGGAGUGUCGGUGGGAUUUUUAUGUACGCAUUACAACUAGGACUAAAGGGGGCCGGGACUAAAGCCCCCCUCCCACGCUGGCCUUCGGUGGUACUUUUUUGACCCGGGACUAAAGCCACUUUAGUCACGGGUCCAAUGUUAAUCGGGACUAAAGGGGUUGGAUGGAAGGUCAGUUCUCUACUAGUGAUAUUUGGUUAUUACAGGACAAAGUAAAGAGACCUCCACGAUUGCAUUUUAUCUCUAGUUCAAGUUUUGUAUCUUAUACUUCGUAGGAUGUUUCUAAAUUAAGUUUUGUAUUUGGGGCUGCAUCGCCCAGCACAUAUUUAGGUCUCGUUUGUUUUGGCCGGAACAGCCCGGAAUGAGGCCCGUUCCGGGCGGUUUGGUCCGGCCCUGAAUGAAGUUAGGCCUCAAUUGGAAUUGCUGUUCAGUUGGCCUGCCCUGAAACCAAACCUUGUACGGCUCCCCCCCCCUCAUCCACAUCCACGUCCCAGAACAAACCCGUGCCUCAUCCCUCCGAGAUCGGAGCCUGGCGGCGCACGACGCGAAUACUUGAAGGCACACGAGGCGGCGGCGAGAGGUGGUGGCGCAAGGUGAUUCCGUGGCGGCGUGGCACAUCCCUGACGGUGACCGGCUCCCGUCCAGCCUCCACCCUCUCUGCCACCUUCUCCCCAGUAAGCGCCACCAUCUCUUCCUCCCCCUCUCCCAUCAUCAUGUUCUUGUUCUGGAGGUUUCCAAGCCUAGGGUGUAGUGGAUUCGAUUGUUUGGGGUGUAGUGGACCUCCACUCCCUGUCGCCUAGGGUUCUUUAGUUUCAUUGGAUCUGCGUUGACCGGGUGGGCGAUUCGUGAGUGGAUGGAGACUGGGAGGGGGACGUCGCCGGUGACCGGCCUGAAACUAGAGCAUCGCAAUCUCACACCCAACCACGCCCUUCGCUUUGCUAUCCAGGAUUGGCUUCGUCACUCUCACUCCCUGAUGAUGUAUAUAGUAGUUGCUUUACUCUUGCUUUAAGUUUUUUCUGUACAAAUUGACCAAGAGCUUUAGUACCUUGAAUUCAGAGUAGAAAUGGAUGCCCAAUGGGUUAGUGCAAUGGAAUACAAAAGCAGCUUUCAGUCUGAAACUCUGAAUUCCUUGCUGGUGUAUUCUGUUACCUGUAUAUAUGAUUUUACUUCAUAUAUUUGUCUGAUGGGGUGAGACUAAUUAACAGACUAUGUUGUGUUGAUCUGGUGAACAAAGAACAUGUUUUUCUCUAGAACUGCAGCUACAUCUGAAUCUUUUGAUGGUGGUUUUCAGUAGUUCUUUUCAGUUUCAUUGCAGUAGUUCUUUUGAUGCUGGUUUUCAUGGUGAGCAUUUCAGAAGUUCCUUAGUUACCUGAUUGGGCUGUACUGCUAGUACUAGUACUGAUUGGUUCUGUUAGUUUAUUCAUUUUGUUAUAAAGCAUGAUGCUAUACCAACAAUUCUAGCAGUAGCAGUACAUGAGUAUAGUGGCAUACCUGUUACUAUUUUUUGCUUAACGAAUACCUUUUCUUGUUACUUGUAGAUCCCUCCAGCACCAAGAGCAGAAAACAGAGAGGCUUUCAUAUGUGCCUGCGAAGCAGAUCAAGAAUCAGCUUUGAUUUGGCUAAGAAAUGAGAUGGCUUACCAGGUAAAGUCGUUGUCUACUUAGUUGCUAUAAAUAGCACUUGUUCUGUAUAUUUCAAGUGAGAUGUCACCUAUUAUCAAUUCACAAAGUGUCAAAAUUGCGGAGUUUCAGUUCAAACUUUCAAUUCUGAAACCAUGUCUAGAAAUGGAAUAAUAUGGCUGUAAACAAGUGCAUGUUGUUUAUCAAUUUGGAAUUAAACAUGUGAUCUGAGUUAACACUGUUUGAACAACUAAAAUACCAUAAAGAUAGAACUUUUGGAAAGCAUGUUGGUGCCUUUGGAAGUAUAUUUUCACUGCCAAGUACCUUUUAUAUCUGAAUAUUAGUCAGAUUGUGAUAUACUGUGCUGCUGCUUUUUGUGUGUGCAGGUCUUGAAAGAACAGCAGUGAGUUCAGCCUCGGCUUUUGUUUUCUUUCAUUCGUUCUAAAUUGUAGCGUGAGGAUUGUUCUAUUAUAUUAAGCAAUAUUGAAGCUUUUGUUGGUGCCAUGGGACAUGCAAUAUUGAAGCAAUAUAUUAAGCGAUGUCGUUCUAAAUUACCAUAAAGAUAGAACUGUAUGAUGCAAGUGCUAGCAUAUGUAUGCUCUGCCAACAUGCAUGCAUAUGAAGUAUUCUGUAUGGAUAACGGACAUGAACUUAAUGAUGCUUUUGCUGUAAUUCAGUUUGAAGUAUUCUGUAUGCUCUGCCAACAUGCAUGGGUUUGACCUGGAUUGAUCCAAUCUGUGCCAAAUGAUGGAUUGACCUGUUCGGUUUGAGUGGAUUUGGUAGGAUUUAAUCUUCCUUGGAUUGAGUGACACAGGUGGAAUCAUUCAAACUGGGUCUGAAAGUAAUCCUGGUCAGAAUCCAGUCCGGCAUUGCCGAAGGAGGUCUUAGGUGGAAUCGAAUCACGCGUGGAAUUGAAGAUUCUUCCACAUCUUGCGUUCACACGUGCGGAAUCGAAGAUUCUUCCACAUCUCGCAUUUCGCUCCACGCUCCUUGCUGUUCACAGUGGAUGCUCCCUGAAGUGCUAGCUUUUCGAGUGUGGAAUUCUACCUUCGUGCCAUCAACGCUGAAAACGCGGAGACAAACACGCUCUAAAGAAAUAUUGCAUUUGUUCAUAUUUGUGUAACGGGAUGAAACCAUAUUUCCCUUUUCUAUUCAAAUACAAAUGGACGAGACAUGCACACUUAAUCUUCCACAUGACGAGAUCUUUCUUACCGAAGAAAGGCUUAAAGUACUCUUGCUGCACGAGGUAGUUUGUAUACAUGUACGAUUCUAGCUACGCAAUUGAAAGAUGGUGGUAGUAUAUAUAGGAAAGUUACUCAGCCACUGCAUAAGUAGCCUACUGGCAUGUCCAUGCCCUCUUGCUAUUACCCAGCCUCGUUUUACCACCAGUACGCCCACCAGCAUAUACUCUUCUUUGUGAAAUUGUAGUAGGGGAGAAAAAGGGAAGAGCAUGUGUGCAAGAACUCCUCUUGUUGUGCAUUAAAUGAUCAGAUUUCCGGAAUGGAAGGUCUCUGGAAUCUCAGUUCGUUGCACAAUUCUGGUCGUCCUUCCUUCACAAAUUUAUGUAUGGACCACCCAUAUGUUCUGACAAGCUAGAGCGAGAUAAGUAUGUGAGAAAUUCAAGGUACGUGAGUGAAUGGAUAGUAGCUAAUAGACGUUCCACUGCUAUUCACCGAGCCUUCAUGGUAUUCCGGUACUCAACGCUUCUUGUGCUUGUUUUAGAUCCAUUUGUUCACAUUUGUGUAAAGGGAUGAAACCAAAUUUUCCCCUUUUUCGGUUUUAACAGACGAGACGUGUACUUGUUCAUUCCACAACACGAUCUUUCUCAUCCAUGAAACGCUUACAGCAGUAUCAGCUAGCCUGUAUAUAUAUACAAUUCUAGGAACACAAUUGAAAGAUGAUACUACGAUAUCAUUGAAACAGUUUGGUGCGUUGUAUAAUAUAGUUUAGUUACUCAACCACUGCAUAAAUAGUAUAUUCCCUCUGUUCUAAAUUGUAGGUCGUUUUAACUUUUUAGGUUUAUAGAUAUUAUUAUGCACCUAGAUAUACAAUAUAUCUAGAUGCAUAAUAAUAUCUAUGAACCUAGAAAAGCUGACCUACAAUUUGGAACGGAUGGAGUACUAGUUUAACCAUGCUCUCUUGUUACUCAGCCUCGUUUUACUAUGACGAACAUCAGUACACACACCAGCAUACACUUUGUUGUGAAACUGCAGUAGGGAAGAAAGAGAGAUCAGCAUGUGCAAGAACUCUUCUAGUUGUGCUUCAAAUGAGCAAUUUUUCAGAAUGGAUGGUCUCUGGAAUCUCAGUUGCACAAUCCAGGACGAUCUCGCUUUACCUAAUUAUGUAUUAGAACAUGAUUUUUAUUUGUUAUUAGGGCCUUUCAAAAGUAUCCCCGCGAGCCUGUAGUGAGCACCGGUAGUGAGCCUAAAGCGCGGAGCUGUUGUGCACCUUAGCAGUCGUAACUCCCUGGCAUGCAUCAUGACCGCUUGCUUCUACCUUGUACCAUCCACCUAGAGUCGCCACAUCUCAUGUAGUUCUUCCAAUUUACAUUUCACGUUCAUAAUUCUUAAAAUCUCGAAAAAGAUUCAAUACUGAAAGAAUUUUCAACAAAUAAUGCUAAAAGUUUGUCUAAAACACAUUUAACAGCUGAAAAUGAAUCGGCACCGACUAUAGUACUGUUUUCUGCCUUAGUAAUCAUUGUACUGUUUCUAGUCGCUACUUCCAGAAAUAGGUGUACUUAAAAUAAAAAAUUUCAAGCAUAUUACUAGUUUUGACAAAAUGACCUUGUUGUUCCUGAUUACUCAUGAUUCAAAGUUGCGCUAUCUCUAGCUACUUGUUAUGUUGAUCCUUAGUAGUCCAACCGUGAAAGAAGUUAUAAUUAGUAACUGGAUUUGCGACAUGCAUUUCUCCAAAUAAAUUUGGUUGUUGGUGUGAAAGUUUAAUUAAAUAGAUAUGCCCACAAGCUAGCUAAAAGUGCAGCCUUUGUAGGAAAAAAUUUGAAAUGCUCGAAAUGCACUCAUUUUAGGACAGAGGGUUAGUUCUUAAGUAAAAUUUCCCUUUGAGCCAUGUGUGCCAAUUACGGGGUGUACAAUUAUGUGUCAGCUGGUUGGCAAGCUGUUUAUGAUACACACACAACUUGCAUCAGAAUCUAACACCGAGAGAGUAGCAAGCUAUUUGUGCUACAUGCUAAAUUAACCAAUUACGGGCCUCUGAUGACCUGCUGGUCGUGAACACACUCAUCUGUUGUGCGUUGUUGUGGUCGAGGACAUCUCGAUAAGCACAUACAUGCAGUUUUUUCUUUGUAUAUACAAUAAGAUAAAUAGUUCACUGGAAAAGAAAACAGACAAUAAUAAGAGCACAUGCUUAGCUGUUGUGACAGCAAAACUAUGCUGAUAAUGAAGUGGUAACAGGGAGGGUGAACAGAGAGUACUAGAUAGACCAAGGGGAAAUGGAGAACAGAGGAGGGGGAGCAGAAAUCAAUUGCAAGCAGGGAGGCCAGCAGCAGCUAUGCGGCGUGCCACGGCCGAGAUGAAGGAGACGACGGUAGCGUCCAGCACCAGAGAUCCGACAGGUAUCCUGCGUGGUAGUGAGGUUGUAUGCGGGUCUACGCAUUGCCUCCGCCCCUCGGCGUCCGGGCCACGAUCUCCAUCGCCUAGCUAACGCUCAUCACAACAUGGGGCGGGCUCUCCUCUGCAGCCGCAACUGCAAGGAGGGAGUCAGCGACAGCUGCGGCUGUGAGGAAGGGGGCGACGGGUUCCGCCGAUGCGAGCAGAGAAGGCCGAUUUUCAGGAGACACCUCAUGACGCUGCCAGAGAAUCAGUCAGGUCAUACUCUAUAAAAAAAGAUGUAAAACGUAAAAUAGUGCAAUUGUCUCAGGAUAUACACGCAUUACAAAUACCUACAGAGACAAACAUUUCACUCCACACCAGAAGGUCUAUCUACAAUAAUAUACAGGCCAGUAUAUAAAGUUCCCCACUUAACUGAUGCUUAGAUGGAUUAUCACGAAGAACAACAUAUCGUUGGACUUGAGGCACGUCUAACGUGGCAAACCAGCAGUCGAGAGGAACUCUUGCUCCAGACUGUAGAACUUUUUGCUACCUUGAGAUGAGGAAAGUUCAGAUUUUUUCCCAAAAUCAAUGCCUGAUAACUGAUAGCUGUUUAUAUCACCUUUCAUAAGCAAGGGUUGCCUCUCUUCAUCUUUUCCAGCAGCAGGUUGAUUGGACUCUGCUCGUUUUGUCCUCAGAAAUUGUAGUGCCAUCUCCACUUGCUUCAUAGUAGGUCUUUGGUCACUUUGGAGUCUCACGCACAUCUCCACAAGAGAUGCAACACAAUUUAUUUCUUCUUCAGACGCUUCCUCAAGAACUUGAGGAGCUACUAUUUCCGUAAUAGGCCUAUUCUUCAUCUCCCACAUAAAGUAGUUAGACAAGUUUUGCUUUGUGCCCGACUCACUUGUAAGAAUAGGCUCCUUUCUUACAAGCAAUUCCAAGAGUACCACACCAAAACUAUAAACAUCACUCUUUUCAUUUAAUUGCCCAGUAUGGUAAUACUCUGGAUCUAAGUACCCAAACGUUCCUUGGACAUUGGUAACUACAUGUGUUUGAUCUAUUGGAACCAAUCUUGAAGCACCAAAAUCUGACACUUUAGCGGUAUAGUUGGAGUCAAGGAGAAUGUUGGAUGACUUCACAUCACGAUGGAAAACUGAUACUGAAGCUGCAGAAUGGAGAUAGGAAAGAGCCCCAGCAGCUUCGGCCGCAAUCCGGAGGGAGCCAUCCCAUGACAAAACUAAUUCGUUACUUGAACCACCAUGGAGGAAGUCAUAAAGUGAGCCAUUAGGGAUAAAAUCAUACACCAGUAGUGGGACCUCGGUCUCGAGACAACAUCCAAAUAACUUAACAAUAUUCCUAUGGUUUAUUUGAGAAAGAAUUGCAACCUCAUUUAUGAACUGAUUAAUCUCACCUUCCUCAAUAAUUUUAGACCGCUUUAUUGCAACCACACGUUGGUCCGAUAAGAUGCCUUUGUAAACCGUACCAUGUCCACCCCGGCCUAGGAUACGUGUGGAAUCAAAAUUAUUUGUUGUCUUUUCAAGCUCCUCCAGAGAGAAAAUCUUUGUCUUUUCACUAGCAUUUUCAUCAGAUAAUAUUAGUUGUUCUAGGAGUAGGCCCUGGUUUCUACGGAAAUACAUCCUACGCAGUCGUUUUUGGAUGUUUCUUUUCCAUUGACGAGUGAGGUAUAUUCCACCAACACUAAGAAGCAGAACUGUAAAACCGCUGCACAUACCGAUAAUAACACCUGAAAAAUUGUACCUAUGAGUUCCAUUUUAAUACAAACUAUAAAUAAUAGGGAAAUUUGUCUACAGGACACUAAAAAAUACAAACUUUUCUAUAGGACACAGCAGCAAGUUUUAUUAUCUGUAGGACACCGUCAAGUGUCCUCGAGAUAACAAACUGAGUGUCAUAUUGACAAAACCAGGUAAAUGUAGUGUUCUGUAGAUAAAUUUCCACUAACAAUAUCUCAAAAAAUAUACUUCUUACCUAAGAGAGCAUUUUGUUGUUUCAUUGACGAGCACUGUAAUUUGGUUGGAUCAUAUACUGUCUUCUCAGGGCAUGGGGUACAGUAGAAGCUUCCUAAAGUAUUGUGGCACGUUCCUUGACAUCUGUUUGGUUGUAUACACUCAUUAACAUCUGCAAAUUAAGCACAUGUAUCUUUUUUAGGUAGCCAGAAUUUGCUAAAACCUUUCAUAGUUUACUGAUAUAAUCAAAUGUAAAACCAAAGGAAUAAUUACUUCCCUACUUCAAGACGCCACAUGCACCAUAAUGUUGUAUAUCAUCUUCACAUUAUUAAGACAUCUAUCGAAAAGUUCAUAUACUCCCUCCAUUUAUUUUUAUAAGACGUGAUAUGACAUGGCACGGUCUCCCAAAUUACACUUUGAUCAUUAAUUUAUCUUAUCUUAUAUUAUUUAUAGUUAUAAACUUAUAAUUAUUGCAGACUACAUUUGAUUACAAAUCCAACCAUGUCAAUUUUACAUCAUAAAAAUAAAAAAAAAAUAUUUGUUAAAUUAUUGGUCAAAGAUAGCAAUGUUUGAAUCUAGCUAUGCACGUACACUUUAUAAACAUAAAUGAAGGAGUAUACACCAUCAUUAAAUGCCUCAGGUAACAACUAUACUAUACCAUUGACAAAUUAGUUAUUUAGACAAUGCAAAUAUCGUAUUUUUUGUCAUCCAUAUGUAAUGCAUGGCAGUUCAUAACUUCAGUACAAGGUAAAUUCUGAAUAAACUAUAAAUUGUAAUAUUUUACGAACACAAUAUUUAUGCAUAUAUCUUUUAAACUGACAUGGAUACUUGGGAAAAUUAAGGAAAUAAUGAAUUCAAAAGCCACCCCUGAUCUAGCCACACAAUAGAACGUUGCAACACAAAAGUCGCACGUUUUUUGUGUGAAAUACCUACAUGUGUGGUUACUAAGCUUUAAACACAUGACCGCCCCUCUAAAACGACCCCAAUUAGAAUCCACAGUGUAAAACAUUGUCAUCUGGUAUGAGUAAAAAGUUUACUACACAACUGAACUAGUUGGCCUAGGCAUUUCUGAUCUUUAACGCAUGGGCUGGGCAAUAUGUAUAAGAUGGCUGUGGUUACAAAACACAGAACACAAUAGGCUUUGGUCCAUAUUUCGAAUACAUGUACAUCAUUGUGUUCAAGCAUUCUUCUCCAAGGCUAUUGGUACUAAGGUUGGAUAUUGUGCGCACACUCUUGUUUGGAAAGAGAUAUGGCUUCAUGGGCAUAUAAUCUCUCUUCCACCUUAUCUCUUUGCUUUGGUGGCCAAGUGAAGGGCUAACAAGCAAACUAUAUUGGAGGCUCUUACUGAUAAUGCCUCCAUUGCUGACAUGCAAGGGGCCCUUACAGUGGGUGUAAGUGCUGGAUAUUUGGACCUUUGGGAUCUCAUCCUCAGGCUGUGUUGUUGCAGCCUGCUAGUGUGCAGGAUAAACAUGUUUGACGCCUAUCUUCUUUAAGGGAUUAUUCGGCUAAGUCAGAAUAAGAGGGAUUUUUUCGAGGUGCGGUUCAGUUUGAACAUUGGCAGUGUAUUUGGAUAUGUCACUUCUUCAUAUGGCUUGUAGCAUAAUCCCUCCAUCCCAAAAAGAAUACCAUCCUAGAAUCAAAUUUUGUCCCAAAAAGAAUGCAAUCUGGGAUUUAAGCAUCGUGCAUGCAUAAUAUAGUACGCUAAUCUAGCUCGUGCAUGCAUGAUUAAAUAGAAAUGGAUUGCCUCCAUCUUCUCUAUGCAAACACAACUAACUAAAGGCACAUGCGUCUUUUUCAUUCACCCCUAAUUUGUAUGAAAAAUUCCACGAUGUUGUUCAUUUUCGGAUGGAGGGAAUAUGUGAUAGAUGUUGGAUGGCUGAUCGCCUUACUUGUUGAAGCUUACAGCAUCCUGAGCACUAUCCUCUCUGUGACCAAGAGGCGGGAACAAUUAACCACUUGCUUGUACUGUGAUUUUGCCCAACAGUUUUGUUUCUGUUCUACAGAAUGUUGGCCUACAAAGCUUGACUCGGCAACCUGCUGAAUCUUCCUCUAAUGGCUGCUGGUGGUCGUGGAGUAAUGAUUUGGUUGGACUGGCAAGUACUACAAGAAUUAAAUUCCAUCACUAUUCUAGGGGCUUGGUAUCCAUGGAAACACAUGAAUCAGUGUGCUUUUUAUGGAGGAUCAAGUUAAGGGGCUCUCUCUCUUAUUUGCCCCGAGCCCGAAAAUGUAAUGAUGAGCUUAAGGUCAUAGUGGGUUCUCUUUUAGUUUAAAAGGUGUGCAUGUUUUCCUUUAAAUAUCUAUGGUUUGUGGUGCAUGGUGUUGUAUGUGUUUAUCACACACUAUAUAUCCUUCUUAAUAUAAUGAUAUCCAGCUUUCAUACAUGUCCUAGAAAAACAACUUUAAAUGAAAAAUAUCAACUGCGAGAACGUAGAUCUCGUUGAUACUUAUAAUUUUCAUAUAGAGUUUAUUUUAUCCAUCAGAGUCUAUAUGGAAAAUUAUAAAUUUUUUAAAUAAGAUAAAAUUCAAAUUAUACGUAGGAAAAUAUGUGGGCUGGCUCAUGGAGGUAUCAGUGGCAGUGAUGAGGAGAAUAAUACCACCGGUCCAUAUCUUUGACCAGCUGUGAUUUUGCUGCCUGCAGGACAGCAGUUACCAAAAAUCACAAUUUCUGUAGUAGUAUUAAGGACAAAAGUCGCACAUAUAAUCGUGAACAUAUUUUUGCUGGUGAAUAACCCAUAAGGGCUUUGUCUGGUACAACUUUCUUAUUCGUGUUGGUAUUUGGCUCCAAACUUUACUAUUACGGAUGAGCGCGCUGCUAGAAAAAAUGUUUUGUUGUAGUAUCUAGUUGAUACUAGAAACAUUUUAGGUAUGUAGUUAAGUCACACUUAAAAAUAACAAUUUCCAAUAUAAAGAUAUGUAUUUAGCAUAUAGGAUCAUAAUUUUGUACGGGAAGGAGAGUUUAGUUACCUUCGCAACCACUAUGGAGGUAUGGAUUUCCGUGGUACCCGUAGGAGCAAUUGCAUCGGUAACCAACAUAGUCACUUGUAGAAUUAACUGGAAUGCAAUUGCUAUUUGCGCUAACACAUGCAUAUCCAGAGCUAUUUGCCUGUGCCUCUUGACAAGUUAGAUUCGCAACAACCCAUUUCAAAGAAACUGACCCACCUGAGCUAACAAAAAUGCCAGGGCCGUCGUCAGAAAAAUAUCUAACUGAUCCUUCAUCAUCAUCAGGGAUUGUGUACUUGAUAAGCCCUUCGUUAAUAUUGAUCUCUGUCACAAGAUAGUAUUCAUCCAGUUGCAGGGUAGAAGUUGUCACAUUUGUGCAGUUGAGAAAAAACUGUUCUCUACCAAAACAACCUUCUUCAAUCCCAAAUGGAAAAGGAACCGUGAUGUUUCCACAAACACGGCUGCAAUUGGCUUUUUGUUGCGCUGCAGGAUUGUAACCUAAUUCCAGUAGAAAAGAAUUCACAAUGAGUACUAUAGAAAAGUAGUACUUUUUCUUUUGGCAGGUAAUACCUUUAUCUAAUAUGUUAAUAGAUGCUAUAGUGUGACCCAGAAUGGGAUGAUUACUAUCUAGCUAUGUUGAAUAUAAGCCACCACAGUAGUUUAAAGAUAAAGAAAAUCUGGGACAAGUUCCUCCAAAUUCUCUUACUACUUAUUUUAGAGGAUCCAAAGUUAUAACUUUAAGGAUAUAGUUACCGACUCACGAAACCUACCGCACUUUGUAUUCUGCUCAACACACCCUGACACCCAUUAUGGUUCUCUGGCAUUUUUGACAACUGUGUCAAUCCUAGGAGAUUUUUUAAUUCGGAAAGAAAAUGAAUGGAAGAAAAGUAGUACAUACUGAAUAUCGAUUAUGCAAAUACGUAAAGUAUUGUAGUUUUGUUGGUCAUAUGAGUGACUAUGCAGUUGGCAUAUCUACAACAUCUGUAGAAAGUCAAGCAGGGCCAUUUAUAGUUUGCUGAAUUUCUACGGGUUCCUUUUAACUGCCCUAUAUAUUGUACCAUUUUUUGAAGACGUAAACACCGCUUCUAUUAAUAAAUAAUAAAUCUAUAUAUCUGAAUGGUCUCGGGCUUAAGUUCUCAAUACAGAAAUCGAGUGUAAUGAAAGAAGAAGCUGGCUUUCUUACAACUGGGUAGUGUUAAUACCUCUGUCUCGCGAGCAGCCACUUUUUAAAUAUGGGUUGCCCACGUAACCUGAAUUGCACUUGCAAUAAUACCCAAUAUACUCAAAAUCAUAAGGAUCGAUACAUUGGCUAUUCUUGCCAACACAAGCAAAUUUUGCAUUAUUCUCCUUGGCACUCGCACAGUUUGGUUGAUCGACGAUGUUCCAGGAGAGGUCAGCAUCAACUGUAGUUACGUUGAUGUAAUCCCACAAAGAGCUCCGAUUAUAAUUUACCUCUGGACUGCUUUCUCUGUGACGGACAAAUGUGAGAUUAAAUGCUCGAACACUUGUCUCCCAUCUGAACGUGCAACAUCCUGUGCCGUUGCAGUUUUGCCUAGCCGCCAUGUCCGUGAUAUCACUGGUAGGACAUUUAAGUGUGCAGACCGGCGAUGUUCUAUUCAUAUACCGAUCACUAUAAUAUAUGUCAAAGUCGCAACCAGUGAUAUUCAUCGAGAUAUAAGAAAUUGUAAAUGAAUUCCCAGGAGAACUCCACGACAUGUUGUAUGUGUGAACACCAUAACUCACUGGGAUAGUACUAUUUGGAAAAUUGAUCUGAAUAUGUGGGCUCGAACUGUAGAGAUACCCUGCAUCCACUGUGACAAUAUUGUAGGCAACCUGGGUGAUGCCAUCAUGUAGAAGGAGAGUUGGGGGCUGAGCAGACUCGUUGCAGGUAAGCUCGAAGUCACCACCACGGGAACAACGAGGCCCGAUGCCAAAAGGAUAGCUGAAGGUCAAGUCUCCACAGCUCGUCUGGCAACCGGAGAGGGUGGGGAUGGUGGAAACCGUGCCAUUGCUCUCUGCUUGGCUUCCCAGCACGACGGAUACCAGCAUCAAUAGUUGAAUCCCCAGCAGUGAACGGAGGAGCAAUAAUGGAAACAUCCUCCACGCCGGGACUUUUGUAUGUUAUGUGGUUUGCAGUUUCAAUGAUGAAGGAAUAGCUCGAAAACAGGGUAUGCAUCAUUAUAUAGAAUUAUGUUGGGGCAACUUAGUCAUUUCCAUUGACUACACAGUAUAAUUGUGGGGCUAAAGGUUGUCGUCUUUUUUCUUUUUUCUCCACAUGCAUUUUCCAGUUGUCAAAUUUGGCCGGUUCGAGAACAAUAGUCUACUGCUUGCCUUUUUGGGUCCACAACACCAAAAUAUGGAGGCCCUAACAAAAAGAUCAAAAUAUCAAGGGAUUUGAUACUUUUGUUUAACGAGAAAACAAAUAUGUGGAUAACCCUCCAAAUCCAACCUAGUGCCUACUUGUAACAUAAAUGCAGUGUCGAUCUUGCCAAUCUCAACUAGCCCCUUAAUUUGAUUUUCUGACUCCUCUUAUGAUUUCUCACAUAUAUAACUCGGUGGGUGAGAAAUCAAAAGAACGAUUUAGAUUCGCCGUAUGAAACACGUGGUAUCCAUCGGACCAGGUAUGCACGCAGUUAGAUUUGGAGCAGUCAUACAUGUAAGUUUUUUUAUGUGUGGCGUAGCCUUUGUUUUCCAUACACUUCAGUGUCACAACUAUAAUUAGCGAUAUGCAAUUAUAUUAUCUGCAUUCAAAUGUAUUGGCAAAAAAUUUGUUUUUUCCUAGACUUGAAUUAACUUUGUUGGGAUCUGGACCAAUUAAGAAAGUCCCUACACGAUUUAAAUUAAAAACCCAAUUAGCUAUUAUAGAGAAUCAUUUUCGUAAAACUUCAUAUAUAUGGUCAGUCAACUAUUAGCGUGACAAAUCAGCAAAACAUUAUUUUCCACACAAGACAUGUAUGGACGACAAUGAUGAAUAAUUAGUGCGAGAUGUCCAUACGAGACCAAUAAGAGGCUUGAUGCUCUUGUCGUUGGACCCAUAACACCAAGUCGUCCAAUGUUAGUCAUCAGUUAGUUGCAUUGUCUCGCUCCACGCGCUAAAACUAUUCUAACCCGUAGAAUGGGGCAGCAGCAUUCAUGAUUUCGACACCUUCAUUAGAGGCAGUAAAUAGCAUUGGACUGAUGUGUGGUACAGUUGUUAACAAAGAAGACGUCAAUUCGAAAAGGGACUAGAUUUUUCCAUGGAAACAAGCUGGAAUUCCAAUCUCCAGUAGGGAUGUUUGGAUACUAGGUGCUAAACUUUAGCAGUGUCACAUCGGAUGUUCGGAUGCUAAUUAGGAGAACUAUGAGCUAAUUAUAAAAAACUAAUUGCAGAACCCCUGUGCUAAUUCGCGAGACGAAUCUAUUAAACCUAAUUAAUCCAUCAUUAGCAAAUGGUUACUGUAGCACCAUAUUGUCAAAUCAUGGACUAAUUAGGUUUAAUAGAUUCGUCUCGUGAAUUAGACUCCAUCUGUUCAAUUAGUUUUGUAAUUAGCCUAUGUUUAAUACUUCUAAUUAGCAUCUUAAACAUCCGAUGUGACAGGUGCUAAACUUUAGCGGUGGGUAUCCAAACACCCCUUUAGUGGGCGAGUUAGGCAUUGAGUCCACGACUCAGAACAGUCUACAAAAAGACUUGCUUGGCCAACAACGUUGACGGAUUUUUGUAGCCGUUAUAUAACUAUUUUCACUAGAGGUACGUGACUGUUAUUUUGACGCCCAUUACCCGCUGGUAAAGCUGGUAACGGACUACGUUAAUGCCCAUUACCUACAACAUAGAACUUGACACAGCUGCUCCAGCAGGCACAUGCGGCUAUGCCCGCGACUGUAGUGGGCUAGCUGCCUUCGAUUGGUUGGCUUGCUAGCUGGUAGGCAGAAACUUUUGUCCAGUCCCCACCGGCUGCGUCAAUAUUGCUUGGCUGGUUGCUGGUUUCCGUAGCGAAUCAUGCAUUUACAAAGUCGUUAGGUACUUAGAAUGUUGACAUCAUGGACCCUCUCCCAGAUACAGGUCUUUUUCCUUAAAUAUUUCCUCGUCGCCGUGAGGCGAUCUUGAAGCUGCCUGAUGCUCCUUGCUCUGAGGAACAUGCUUGGUAUUUCAAUAACAACUUGUAUGUCUCUCAUGCAACACCUAUAAUUAAUGUUUCUUGUUUUCGUCCAGAAUGACCACGCUCCGUUUGCUGCCACUGCCCAUGUGCUGAUUAAUUUUGCUAGUUUACAGUGCAACAGAGGUAUAUGUUUCGCAAACAAAGAUGAAACUUCUCUACAUAUCCAUAGUAGACAUACGGGUAAAGAAACAUGCAUGUAAGGAAAAUGGCGGUCAAAGUCAUUGUUCUGAUUUUAGGGAUUGAGUGACAUCAAUGUAAAUAGGACUGAUAUGUUUGUCAAAGUCUUUCAUCCUUGUAGGAUCUUUACCAUGUCCAUGUCCAUGCCCUAGGCCACGGCCGUGCCAUGUCCCCUCCAUUGGCCGACACGCAUACACUCGUGCCGGUGAGUGUAACAACCUAAUUUUCAAACUUUUCAAUUAAUAAAAUUUGUUAGAAUUUAAUUGCACAUGACUAAGGAAUUUUAAGGUUGCAUUUAAAUUUUCUUUAGCAUUUAAAUCUUUCUCAAAGUAAAUUAACGAAUCAUAGGAGUUCAUUGGCAUUAUUUUUUUUGGCUGCUUGAAUUCAAAUUCGCAUUUGAAUUCAUUUGUUUGAAUAUUUUUAAACAAUAGGAAAUCAUUUUCUUUUCCUAUCCCUUUCCUUUUCCUCUUUCGGCCCGUUUCAUCAGCGCAGCAAUAGCCCCAGGUCGGCCCAGCAGCGCCCUCCGCACCGUUCCGCUUCCAGCCCAGCUCCGUAGCGCAGCCGCCUCGACCCAUCUUCCCACGUCAGCCCACUCCCGUGCCGCCUCCGCUCCCGCUGCUGACAGACGGGGCCCACCUGUCAUUCCUCUCCUCGCGCCGCACCUGAACCGGACUCCAGUCUGAGUUCCGGACGCUCCCGUCCGCCCGUGCCUUCCUUGGCCUGCACGCCAAGACGCCCUCCCAGGCCUAUUUAACCUGCCACCGCACCCCCUCAACCCCACCAAGAAAACCCUAAGCUCCCACGCCCUAGCUCUCGAGUUGUCGCAACCCUAGCUCGCGCUUGCCGCCAAUGACCCGCGCCGCCGUUGCCUUCCAGUCAGCAGAAACACCACCCAGAGCACCGCAAGGAGGUGGCGAAACCUCCCGUGAAGAUCUCGUGCACUCUUGUGCUUCCUUUCGCGUGCACGAGCUUGCUGUAGUUGAGCUCCUCCGCUCGAGCCGCCCCACCACGUCGCCCUUCGCCUCCGUUGCCUUGGCUGCCGUGGGAACCACCUAGAUCGUUUUGCAAGCUCCCCAGCUUCAUCCCAAGCUAGUCCGCAUCGAGUUUUGUGGCUGGGAACUCGAGCUUUGCUCGAUUCCGGUGAACUUUGCCACCCAGUGCCGUCGAGCGCCACCGCCCACCGCCUCGUAGCGCCACUAGUCGCCCGAUCCUGAUCGAACGGCUCAGAUAAGAUCUGACUGGAGUCAAUCCGGCCACGUACCGGUCAACCUUGCCACGACGUUGCUCUUUUGCUAAAGAGAUCCUGAGUUAUCUUAUUUUUGCACCCGAGGUCCAGUGCAGUUCAAAAGUAAUUAGAUCUAGGUUGUUUUUCUUCCAUUUUAGCCCCUGCUUUUCUUAGUUUUUAUGCUUGCCAUCCUAGAUUUGCUCUUUUACACUAUAGACCUUUGGUUUCUACGCAUAAUGAGAUUUUAGCCCUUGGUUUAUUUAAGUUUAGCCCCUGGAAGUUUACUUUUCUUGCAGAUAAGCCCUUACAUCUUGUCUAGGCUAUAUCUUUAGCGUUUUAGAUCCGUUUUGAAUGAUUCUUGCGUCUGUGAGUUUGUCUUAAGGCGUAGACUAGUUUUAUGAACUUUUUUUUCCUUGUUGCUACUGUUUGGUGUAUUUUUUUAUUAUUUUAGUUCUUUGUUUGCUUGUAUGUACUUGUUUGAUGCAAGUAGAAGGACCGCAGUUCGAGGGAUUCGAAGAUCAAGCCUUUGAAGACUUCAAGCAACAAGAGCAAGUUCACGAAGGCAAGUCAUGCCCUUGAUCACAAUUUGAUCCUAUGCAACCUUUACUUUUAUGUUCAAUACAAUAUGCUAUGCACAUUAGGUUAUAAACAUGAUAGUUCCUAUAUAAGGUUUGCCUUGUUUUAUCCUUAUGCCUUGAUCAACCUGGGUUUAUAUCAUGUUGGAUAGUUCUUGCUUAGUUGCUCUAUUUGGGUACGAUGGUAUUAAUGAACCAAUGUUUAAACUUGUUUUAUUUAUGUUGUAUCUUUCAUUAAUACAAGAUCACCAUGCUUAAUUGGAACAUGGAGAACCCCCUAGGAAAACAGUACAACCACAAGAACUACAUGGCUCUGGUGUUGGCUAAUUAAUUAGAUACUCUAGUCUGGGUAACCUUAUCGAAAGGUCAAGAGGGGAGGCAUUGAUGGGGUAUAACCCGGCCCUCUGGCUGAUCUGCUCUAUGGUAGCUUCAUAGUUUUGAGAGAGGUUUAUGCUCUGCUUCGACUUGAAACCUUAGUGGGUUACUAUUUACUCGGGAAUCUUUGUAAAGGCCUCAUAGCGUCCCUAUGCAAUCACACCUCGGAAGUGUGGUAUUGUGCUUGGCUGGCACAACAUGGUUGGAUCUAAAGUUCUUUUGAAAUUUUACGUGACUUGUGGGUAAAGAUGUACAACCUCUGCAAAGUGUAAAACUGAUCGAUCAGCCGUGCUCAAGGUUAAGAGCGACCUGGAUCCUCACAUGAUUAAUUUAUCAGGAGUUGAAUUAAAUUGAAGUUAUUUAUUUAUUGUUAUCUUUAUUUAUGUUCAUGUUUAAUUGGGGUGGUAUAAACUUAUACUUAGUAAUUGCUAAUAAAACUUUACUAGCCAAUUAAAAUGCUGAAAUAUUAUUAGACCUUAGCCCAUCCUUGAAUGGCCUUACACUACACAUUCCUCAUGCUUGUUGAGUACCAACCAUAAGUGUACUCACACUUGCUAAAAUCACUGCUCACACCAAUUCAAUCUCGAGGAGGUCCUUCAAGACUUUGAGGAGUUCUAGGAGAAUGUGUGCCACUAAUCAACUGCCUGUGGAGUUGUCGUCAUUGUUGGAGUUUUGCUACUAGAAUAAAGACUCAUUUGCUAUUUUAUUUAAAGACCUUUGGUCAUGUAAUAAAUUCAAUACUCUCUUUAUGUUUUGGCAUUGUCUAUGGUACUUACUGAAGUCAUUGCAUGUGUAAAACUUAAUCCUAGCACACAUGUAAUUUAUUCAUCUAGUUUUGCCUUUAAAACCGGGUGUGACAAAAGUGAUAUCAGAGCUGAGUUGACUGUAGGACGUUAUCCUAGUUACAAAAUGGUCGAAUUUAAGGAUUAUAAUGCUUUGGUAGCCAUUCUUACUUAAUGUUUUCUUUAAAUCUACUUUAAAAUGCUUAUCCUUUCUAUUAUCCUAUCUCCAUUGCUCUACUUGUUUCUUUAUCUUGUUUUCUACAUUCUUUACACUCUAUGCUUCUUGAUGAUCUUGAUGAUGAGGUCCUUCAAACUCGCCCUAUGAUCUCGAUGAUCACUCCUUCGCCCUAUGUUAGUGUUUUAUAUCUUGGUGGGGGAUUGUCGGACCUAGAACUCGAAGGUAGAAGUGAGAAUACAAGACACAGAUUUAUAUAGGUUCGGGCCGCCAGAGUAGCGUAAUACCCAACGCCCUGUUUGGGAAGUUGUAUAUUACGCCCUGCGCUUAGGUGUUACAUAGCCUGAUUGUUGGCUAUUGAUGAUGGUUCUAUGAGGUCUUGGCCUUUGUUGAUCUGAGCUCUGACGAUCUAGAUACCCCUACCCUCCUUUAUAUACUCCACGAGGCGGGAUAACUAGUUGGUUAUAAGGAGGAGUCGUAGUAGGAUUACAUGGUAUGAGCAGGUAUUAGGGAUCUAUCCCUGACAGGUGGAUAUCCUAUUUGCUAGUCUAUGUCGUGCUGAGUUUGAUCGUGUCGAGGAUCUAUAUCUUGCUCAUGAUAUUUGGUCCAAACUCUAGAGUUUCCAUGAGGGGAACAGUUAGGUGAAGGCACGACUCUUUGAGACUUACCGAUGUGAGUAUGAAAACUUUAUUCAUUUGAUCAGUGAGUUAGCUGAUGCUUUGUUCCAGCGCUUUCUUACUAUUGUGAACAAGAUGAGAGCAAACAUCACCAUCUUACCCUACACUGAUCAUGAUAGAGCUUUAAAGCUCCUGCAUGCUUUGGACCACGAGGUGUGGGUACGAAGGUUGAUGCUAUCAUCGAGUCCACAAGCUAUGAAACUCCUGCAGUUGAUGAACUUUUUGCCAAGCUGAAAUUGACAGAGGUUGACAAGAGGCUCCGAGCUAAACAAGGGAGUCCUACUAAUCCUCAUAGUAUGGCUCUUGUGUUAGGCUCUAGAUAGUCUAUGUCUUUGGCUAACCCUUCCACUAUGUCCUUUGCUUUGUCUUCUUUGUUGUCUGUUUUAGAGCAGUUGGAGGUUCUUGAGGAUGAGGAGCUCGCCUUUAUCAUGAGACGGUAAUCGCAAGAACCGGUGAAGGAACAACAACAACUGCUUCGAGUGUGGCAAGUCAGGACACUUCGCCGCCGACUGCCCCGACAAGAACAAGUCCAAGAACGGGUACGACUACAUCAAGUACAAGUACAAGGACAACGAGAAGAAGAAGAAGUAUACCGGUCGUGAGAAGAACGAGCACUGCAAGAAGGCUAAAGCACGUGCCUUCAUCACCUCCCUCAGCAAGAACGGGUACUAGUUCCUUGUAUGGAAUUCACAUAACAAAUUUGCAUAACAUUUCAUUCUUUACAACCUAAAAAUGGGCUUCAUUCUUUUUUGCUAUAGUUUCUGAUGAUUAUUGUUACUUUUUUCUGUCUAUAUUAUUGUCACUCAAGCCCGCAUCUUAUAUAUGAAUGCAUGCACUGAAAACAAAGUUAAGGUGUCUGUGUGUUGUUUAUACAGAGAGUGGAUCGAGGUGUCUGGCAUAAUAUUUUUUUGACAUUCCAAUUUUCUUUCCUUGUAUGUUAUAUACAAUAGUUCUAGUUAUUGCAAUGCAUGGGAGCAGCAAAACUGCUAUAUUUUUUUUAUUACUUUCCCAAGUUCUUAAAAUUAUCACUUCAUGCUAACAGAAUUUAUGGUUUUAAGCUACACCUGGAGCAGCAUACUGUGGGUAGAGCUGUGCUACCGAAACAUAGCUGGCUGGAAAUUUGUACUGAGGUAGGAAAUGAGGUAGCUUGAGUCUGUAAAAAACAUCAUCAGGCUGUUUUGCUUUCGAAUUAAUGUGGCUCCAGUUCGUGUCAUGCCUUCUUGACUGAUUGGAUGAACCCAAUUGCUUGGGAAUGUUAAAGAUAAAGAGUUUGGUUGUAAUUGGAAUAGGAUAUCUGGAAGAUUAUCUUUGGGCGGCUGCUAUUCUAGUUGUAACAGAUAUGUAUUUUUAAAUUAGUUUGGCCAAAGAUAUCUCCUAGAGAGGUCCUAUAUAUUGUAAUUUCCUGUGUGCUAUUUUGCACAAUAUUAUAACACGCAACCGUUGCACCCUUAAGGUUGGGGCAACAUUCCACGCAGCGCAAGCACCUCUGUUACCUUUCAUGGUAAUCGGAGCAUAGAAUUAGAUCCAUGGCUUCAAGCUCAAGUGUCUCCAAUCCCCUACUCGGCGUUCAGAUCAUAGAGAAGCUGAGUAAGAGCAACUAUGCGCUCUUGAAGGCGUAGGUGCUCACCGCCCUACGUGGUGUUCGGAUGGAAGGCUUCAUCACCGGCAAGACCGGCGUCCCCUCACCUGAGAUCGAUGACAAGCUGUCUGACGGCAAGAUCGUCAAGGUGCCAAAUCCAGCAUAUGAAGAGUGGUAUGCCCGGGAUCAACAGGUCCUUGGGCUCAUCUUCUCAAGCGUGGGGAAGGAUGCCCUCACGCAGAUUGCUGCUGCAAAGAUGGCAGCACAGGCAUGGCAAGAGAUCGAGAACAUGUUCACCACCCAAACUAGGGCUCGGUCGAUGAAUGUGCGCCUAGCAUUGACAACUACAAAGAAAGGUACAUUGUCAAUUACUGAAUAUUAUGCCAAGAUGAGAUGGAGGCCUCUGGAAAGCCGCUAGAUGAUGAAGAACUUGUCGCGUAUAUCGUCAACGGAUUGGAUUCAGAAUUCAAUCCUGUGGUGUCGACGCUCGUCACAAGGGUCAAACCGAUCUCGGUUACUAAGCUCUACUCCCAGCUACUUAGUUUCGAGAAUAAGCUUGAACUCCAAGAUGGCUCAGGAUCCUCCAUCAACAACAUUGUUAGGGGCAGUCGAGGCUCUUCUGGAGGUCACAGUGGUGGGAGCCGUGGCCGUAGCUCUAGGCAUGGUGGCCAUGGUGGUUUUGGUCGCGGAUGCGGGAACCAGAACUAGCCGCGGCUCAAUCCAGGAAGCCAGCACCGCCCAUCUGGAAGCUCCAACGAUAGUCGCCCUCUCUGCCAGGUCUGCUUCAAGAAAGGGCACCUCAUCUCUGAUUGCUGGCAUCGCUACGACGACACUUACGUCCCCGAUGAGUGCCUCGUUGCUGCUGCCUUCAACAACUCCUACAGUGUGGAUACUAAUUGGUAUACCAACAUUGGGGCUACGGAUCAUGUCACAAGCGAGCUAGAGAAGCUCUCCUUCCGUGACAAAUACAAGGGAGGUGAACACAUUCAUACAGCAAGCGGCACAGCUAUGGAGAUCAAACAUGUUGGUCAUACUAUUGUUCCAACCUAUUCUAGAGAUUUACAUCUUAAAAAUGUCUUACAUGUUCCUCAAGCUACAAAAAAUCUUGUCUCCGUUCAUCGCCUAGCUAAAGAUAAUUCCGCCUUCAUUGAAUUUCACCCUGAUUAUUUUCUUAUCAAGGAUCAGUCCACGAAGAACGCGAUCCUUAGAAGGAGAUGUCACAAGGGUCUCUACCCUCUUCCUGCAGUGCAUCCAGUCAAGCAGGCGUUUGGAGUUGUCAAGCCAUCCCUUGCACGGUGGCAUAGUCAUCUGAGUCAUCCUGCUUAUCCCAUUGUUAGCAAGAUUGUUAGCAAUAAUAAUCUACCUUGUUUAGUUGAGAAUAAUAAAGAGUCUGUAUGUGAUGCUUGUCAAAAGGCAAAAAGUCAUCAAUUGCCUUAUUCUAGAUCAUCGAGUGUCUUUAGUUUUCCCUUAGAACUUAUUUAUUCAGAUGUCUGGGGUCCUGCACCCACUUCUACUGGAGGAAAGAAAUAUUAUGUUAGUUUCAUUGAUGAUUAUAGCAAAUUCACAUGGAUUUAUUUGCUCAAAUUUAAAUCCGAGGUUUUUCAAAAGUUUCAUGAGUUUCAAAGUCUAUUUGAAAGAAUGUUCGACAAAAAAAUCAUUGCUAUACGGACUGGAGGUAAGUAUCAAAAACUCCACACCUUUUUUGAUAAAGUCGGCAUCUCCCAUCAUAUUUCAUGUCCCUAUGCGCAUCAAUAGAAUGGUGCAAUAGAAUGCAAGCAUCGUCAUAUUGUAGAAGUUGGCUUAUCCCUUCUUGCCCAUGCAUCUAUGCCUUUGAAAUUUUAGGACGAAGCCUUCCUAUUAGGUACAUAUCUCAUAAAUCGAGUUUCUAGCAAAGUUAUUCACCAUGAAACACCUUUAGAACGUCUCUUUGAUCAAAAACUAGAUUAUUCUUCCCUUAGAACCUUUGGGUGUGCAUGCUGGCCCAAUCUUAGACCAUACAACAAGCACAAACUCGAAUUCAGAUCUAAGUAGUGUGCCUUCCUUGGGUACAGUCAACAUCAUAAAGCGUUCAAGUGUCUUGACAUAGCAUCAGGUCGAGUUUAUAUCUCCAGAGACGUCGUCUUUGAUGAGAUGGAAUUUCCCUUCUCCAAACUGCAUGAGAACGUAGGAGCUCGUUUACGCUCUGAAAUCUCCCUCCUUCCCUCCCAUCUUCUCAAUCCUUCUGUUGGGGUGGAACAUAUAGGUGACCACUUGUCUGAUUCUCCUAAUACUACAAAUGAUUCUGGUGAAAUUUGUGAAGAACAUGCUGCACGAAAUAACAGCAACAGAGCUGGUCCAAGCACAGCACACAAAGCUGAUUUAGCGCCGCUUCCAACUGACCAGGCCUCGGGAUCGCCAGGCGUAUCCGCGUGCAAUUCUGCACGUGAGUCCACUCCCACCACGUCACCCCCGAUCGCGCUUGACUCAUCCCUACCUACGCCUGCUCCCGCCUCUCCUCCUGGGCGCCAGUCCGUGCCCGCCAUGUCGGCAUCGCCACACGCUCUGCUCUAGUUGGGCGUGCUGGAGGGGCAUAAUGGCGCCAAUGAUAGUGCCAAUGAUGGCACCAAUGAUGCAGAUGGCAGGUGCAACGGUGAACCUAGAUCUUCUGCACCGAUGGAAGCUGCUGACUCUCCUGUUGAGUCCUCUGAUUGUCCAGUUCCGUCUACACCUAUGCGUCCUACUACCCGUCUACAACGUGGCAUCCGCAAGGAGAAGGUAUACACUGAUGGCACUAUUAAAUAUGGAUUUUUUACAUCAUCUGGUGAGCCGCAUAAUGUUAGUGAAGCUAUGACAAGUGCACAUUGGAAAGCUGCUAUGGAUGACGAAUGUAUGGCACUAAUGAAGAAUAAAACAUGGCAUCUAGUUCCAUCUAAGAAGGGUGUUAAAUGUUAUUGAUUGCAAAUGGGUAUAUAAAAUCAAAAGAAAAGCUGAUGAAAGUUUGGAUAGACAUAAAACCAGACUGGUUGCUAAGGGUUUCAAGCGAAUGUAUGGCAUUGACUAUGAAGAUACUUUUAGUCCUGUUGUUAAACCAGCCACUAUCAGGAUUGUUUUGUCUAUUGUUGUAUCUAGAGGAUGGACCCUCCAUCAACUUGAUGUACAUAAUGCUUUCCUUCAUGGUGUUUUGGAGGAAGAGGUUUACAUCAGACAACCUCCUGGCUAUGAGGACAAAUCUCUGCCUGGUUAUAUAUGCAAAUUAGAUAAAGCAUUGUACGGUCUAAAGCAAGCACCUAGAGCAUGGUACUCCAGGUUAAGUACAAAGCUACAUGAGCUGGGGUUCAAGUCAUCAAAGGUAGACACAUCCUUAUUCUUCUAUAAUAAAGGGGGAGUUAUUGUCUUCAUACUUGUUUAUGUAGAUGAUAUCAUUGUUGCUAGUUCAAGACAGGAGGUUGUGUCGGUUCUAUUAAAGAAUCUCAAUAAGGAUUUCACACUAAAAGAUCUUGGAAAGCUUCAUUACUUCCUCGGCAUAGAAGUGAAUCAGAUCCAUAAUGGAAUUAUAUUGACACAAGAGAAGUAUACGAAUGAUUUGUUACAACAAGUUGGUAUGAAAGAUUGCAAACCAGUUGCUACUCCAUUAUAUACCUCAGAGAAGUUGUCUCUUCAUGAAGGUAAUUUGUUUGGACCGAAUGAUGCCACAAAUUAUAGGAGUGUUGUAGGAGCUUUACAGUAUCUGACUUUGACUAGACCUGAUAUAUCAUAUUCUGUUGAUAAAGUCUAUCAGUUUCUACAUGCACCUAAUAUUGUGCAUUGGAUGGCGGUCAAGAGAAUUCUUAGAUAUCUUAAGCACACGGUCAAGCUUGGUUUAAAGAUUUGCAAGUCUUCUUCUUUGUUGGUGAGUGCUUUCUCAUAUGCUGAUUGGGCAGGGUGCCUAGAUGACAGACGAUCUACUAGAGGAUUUGCAGUAUUCUUGGGGACGAAUCUAGUUUCUUGGAGUGCUCGAAUACAAGCAACUGUGUCAAGGUCUAGCACUGAAGCGGAAUAUAAAGCAAUAGCUAAUGCGACUGCAGAAACAAUGUGGAUACAGACUUUGUUGUAUGAAUUGGGCAUAGAUGUGCCGAGGAUAGCCAAGCUUUGGUGUGACAAUAUUGGAGCUAAGUAUCUUUCUGCGAAUCUAGUCUUCCAUGCUAGAACUAAACAUAUAGAAGUCGAUUAUUACUUUGUAAGAGAAAGGGCGGCUAAGAAACUACUUGAUAUCGAGUAUAUAUCUACAAAGGAGCAGGUGGCUGAUGGUUUCACAAAGCCAUUGACGAUGCGGCAGCAGGAGUUGUUCAAGAACAAUCUGAACCUAGAACGGUUGAGGGGGAGUGUUAGAGAUGAAGAGUUUGGUUGUAAUUGGAAUAGGAUAUCUGGAAGAUUAUCUUUGGCCGGCUGCUAUUCUAGUUGUAACAGAUAUGUAUUUGUAAAUUAGUUUAGCCAAAGGUAUAUACUAAAGAGGUCCUAUAUAUUGUAAUUUCCUGUGUGCUAUUUUGCACAAUAUUAUAACACGCAACCGUUGCACCCUUAAGGUUGGGGCAACGUUCCACGCAGUGCAAGUGCCUCUGUUAUCUUUCAGGGAAGACCUACCAGUCUCUGGCGAAAUCAGUCAGUCUCCUUGUAUUGUUUGCAUUGGCUUGUAGUCCCUCAGUCCAAAAUUACUAUUUUUUUUGGCAUUUGUAGGUACAUAUUUUGAGACGGAAGGAGUAGGUUGGUAGUACAGAGAUUUCUUAUAAUUUUCCGGUCUCCCCUUGGACGUUGAUUGACGCGAACAUGCAUCUGGAAUGCAGCGUCUAAUAUCAGGUCCAAACUGCUACUCAAUCGUUCUAAUAUCAGGUCCAAACUGCUACUCAAUCGUUCACCGGGUAAAGACAUAAUGUGAAGACCGCAUCUAAGUCGUUCAAGGGCCACAGGUCGUCGGCGUUAUUCAAGUGUACGCAGAGACCUUGCUUUCAGGGGAACAUUCAGCUCCAAAUAAACAUGCCUUUCUCAGAGAACAUGUAUGGAAUUCCCAUAACAAUUUUGCAUAACAUUUCAUUCUUUACAACCUGAAGAGCAUAUAUCUUAGAAUACAGACACGUGUUACACAAGAACACAAUUAAAACACCUUCCACGUAUCUACAUAUACUUAAAUAUGCCACUGUUGCGACAAUAGAUGUCACGGAAAUUUUUAUCUUGCAAAUUCUAUGCAGUUAUCUGUCCAUAUUGAUUUCAUCUUGCAAACUCUAUGCUCAUCGAGGCUUUCUUCUGGAGGAUGUAAUAAUCUGUGCUUUCUUCACUAGUAUAGUCACCCGAUGAAUUGUCAGACGACCGUCCCUGCAUCAUGAGUGCACUAAC
rnacentral:lncRNA from 1 species